AAUAGCUCAAGGUUCUAUUACUGUCUGGAAUUUCAAAUUACAUAAAAUUGGGACGACAAAGAAAUUAAAGAAUUUAAUAUCCUAACAUCCUACGUACACAAAGAACAAAACCUUUUUUUCAUCUUACAAUCAAAUGUUGAACUGAAAGGUUACAUACAUAAAAUAACCAACCAUCCUUGAAGAACUUGUGCUCGGAAUGACUUCUUAUCGCCUUUGGAAGUUAAAUGCCUUAAUGGCGUAGGCAAAGAUGAAUAAGAACAGCACCACAAACCCAACAACCACAGCUGCAACCACUCCCAGGAAAUCAUGUUUGAAUCCAAAAUAAUCAUCCAAGAAUUGUUCCACCGUUUGAUUUUUGUCAAGUAGUGUGUCCUGUAUAUCUCCAAACUGUGAUGUAACCAAUCCAUACAAAGUCCAUGCAACUGGACAUAUCCAAUAGUACCAUCUCCACCACACCGGAAUUCUCUGUAUUCAUCAAGGAAGAAAUGCAACAAUAUGAGUCAUUUCUAUAUCCAUGUGGCAAGGAAAGUUGCAAUUUAAAGAAUCACAGGUUGAGAGCACUUACGUUUCGUGGGACUAUGAAACCUGAAAAGAGGUUCCAUAAUCCAUAAAAUGCCGCAGCAACGAUGGAAGCAAUAUGUUGAUUUGGCGUGGCAGCCACAGCCAUCAUGCCAUAGAAGGUGAAGUACAACAAAGUGAAGAACAUGAAGAACAGAUACCAGAAGAAUUUAGCGGCAGUCCAUUCAAAUCCAAUCAUUGCAUAAACUAUAACACCAUACACAACAGCUUGUGCAAAGACAUAUGGGAUCUCAACUAGAGCCUGCAACAAGAGAAGAAAUUUGAUUAUUAAAAUGCAAAACAUAUUAUACAUAUACAAAGUCUAUAGUGUAAGAAAACUAGUUACCUGUCCAAAGGCAUAUGGCAGGGCUGAAUACAUUCCUGCAGCUCUUUCUCUGUAAAAGACUGUUCGUUCAACUACAACAACUGGCUGGACCGAUUGGGCGUUCUGAACCCCAAGGAAGAGAACAGCAGCAUACAUAGAACCCAUUGCGUUUAACAGAUCUUGUUGCCUUGUCCUGCAAUUUACCACGUCAAGUAUAAAUUAAAGUUGAUAUAGAGAAACAUACUGAGUUCUCAAAUUUUUUAACCGACAUCAAAUUACCUUUCGGUGCCCAGAUCCCAGAACAUUGUCCCAAACAUCAAGGCUAUGAAAGUUGUGAAGAGAAAUCUCACUGCCGUGUAUGGUGGGUUGCGCCAGUAUGACCAACGUUGUUUCCAUAAGCAUGCCAAAAAUUGGGUGAAGAAGGGUUGGGAGUAUUGAGUAGCGAAAUAGAGGUCUUUUGUACCAGGGGCAGGUUGGCUCAGUUCUUUAAUUAAAUCUUUGUUUCUCCUGAAACAUAUGCCACUUGUUAGAACAGGUUUCAACUACAAAUUUAAGCUUUUCAUGAGAAACAUUAGGAUGGAUGUAUAUGACUUUUCAAUCUUAUAAUGCAAUUAGAUAACAUAUGGUUGAAUCACCUGUAUAGGUCUGAAUUCUUGUAUAUUUCAGUGAAAUCGACCCCCAAAGUUCCUUCUUGUGCUCCGGUGGUAACUUCCAGCAUCCAGGUUGCAGGGUUAUAACCAUCUUUGAUUUUACUGACUCCUUCAAUUCCCUUUAUGAAAGCAAGUGAUAUGUAUUAGUAAGUGCUUAAUAUGAAUUAACUCAAACUGAAGUAUUUACUUCUUAUAGCUUUUACUUUAUCAUGGCUGCUUACCUCAAAAUAAUUUAUUAGAUGGGAAGAAUGUCUACCCAGUGGUCCCACAUAUAUCUCUUGCCCUCCACGCUUCAUCAGGAGCAACUGCAAAUCCAUUUUAAAUAUUUCAGUACUUGUAUGCGAAGAGCAUAGAAGAGAAACUAUAAAUUCUUUCUAUCCCUUAACAUUUCCUACCUCAUCAAAGGCUUCAAAUAUGUCAAUACUUGGCUGAUGGAUGGUGCACACAACUGUCCUUCCUGUGUCCACAGUGUUUCUGACUGUUCUCAUAACAAUUGCAGCAGCUCUUGCAUCUAGCCCUGAAGUUGGCUCAUCCAUGAAUAUUAUUGAGGGAUUUGCCACAAGCUCAACUGCAAUAGUCAGCCUCUUGCGCUGCUCGGUUGAGAGACCAUUUACACCUGGCAACCCAACCAGUGCAUCCCUCAAUGGGGUCAGUUCCACAAGCUCCAUGACUUCCUCAAUGAACAUCUGUAACCAUUAGCAAUGAUUAUGAAUUGUUUAAAAAACGUUGCAAACCAUAGUAGAGAUGGUAAAAAAUUUGACACUGCUUGUGACUCCUGUUAGCAGGUUGUGAAGAGGUUUCCCUAGUCUUACUAAAUGGAUCGGUUAAUAGAUGCAAAUGCUCAAAAACACUCAUUAGCUUGCAUGAACUUCACCCAAUUGGAUUAAAAGUCAAUGAAACUUGAACCAGCACUUUUUCCCAGGUGAAGGUCAAUCCAAACUUGAACCUGACCUUACCUCAACCAAGUAUGAAAAGUCAAUUCUAGGGCUUUGCUUGUUUAGAGCACUAAAUUGAACAAGAAAAAUAUGGAAACAAUUAAGAAGACUCCUACCUUUCUGGUUUCAGAAUUCACAUCAGAAGGCAACCGCAGCCAAGCUGAGUAGAGCAAGGACUCAUGGACAGUAACAUGAGGAGAGUGGAUGUCAUUCUGCUCACAGUAUCCAGAAAUUCGAGCAAAAGUCUCUUGCUUCUUUGGGUAGCCAGAAAUAGUGAUGUUACCCUCAAUAUAUCCACCGGUUUUCCGACCAGCCAGUACAUCCAUGAGAGUGGUUUUACCAGCACCACUAACACCCAUCAGAGCUGUAAGAACACCAGGCCUGAAAGCACCACUCACCCCUUUCAGAAGCUCCAGUCUGUCUUCAAGGGCACCCUGACUUUUCAUUUCCUGCAAGUUCAUUUCAAACAACUCAGUUCUCAUUUCUGGUUUAUAGUACAUUAUGAAAAAACUUCAGUGCUGCUAAAACAUAUGUCAUCAUUUGAAUAAAUAUGACUUUACCUCUGGCAUGUCAACUGAGUAUCUAAUAUCAUCAAAAGUGAUUGAAUGUGGUUGGAAUGGAAGAACCAUUCCUUUCUUCUUAUUAUGAUUAGCCUCAGCAAUGGCUUCUACCAUUUGCUCUCCCCGCUCUGCAUGUCAAGUUUAAAUUCAGUGAGCCAUAUAAAACAUGUAGUUAAAUGACAAGAAUUGAGUCAUACAAAGGCAUGCAUGCAUGCACCAUGUAUGAGUUUCAUCACCUGUGGUUGCAGUUUUGGCAUUGUCAGACUCUUCUGUUAUAACAGCUUGAGGCUUCUCAAAUACUGAGCAAUUUGCACAAUGUUAGUACACUAAGCUCAUAUUUUUAGGAGUUUCAAUGCAGAGAAGGUACAGAUACCCACGAUUUAGGUAAUUAAGGCAGAGAGUGUAAAAGAUGUUGAAAACAAAUAUGAAUCCAAGCAGUGCCCCAGCUCCUAUCCAGUACCAGUGUGCGUCUGUGAAGAACCCACGAGACUUCAAUACUGUGACUCCAAGGGAUUCUGUUGAAUCGGUGACAUUCUGAAAAAUGGAAAUAAGUACAAUCAUCAGUUACUGACACACAUAAAUAAACACAAAUAUUCACAUGGAACAUUCGAGAACUUACUUUGCUCCAACUCUUCCCAAGGAAUUCAUUUACCACUAUUGCAUUCUGUGCAUACAUCAGAGGGGAAGACCAGUAACCCCAAAUCCACCAUUUCUUGACAUUAUCUGCAGCAUUGACCAAAUAAAAAAGGAAACAAAAAUUCAUUAUCAGGGGUUAUGCACAAGAAGGUUCUACAUUUCCUAAAAAAAUAUUUCCUCAUCAUACCAUAUGACAGGAUAAAACCACCCAAUGCCAAGAGCAUAAGUAAAGCAAAUGCCCCAAAUGUGUUUGCAACAAUCAUGUUUCUACCGGCUGCUGCUAUAAAUCGAAAUAAUCCAGAUGCCAUCUGAUUAACAAGCAAGAGGAGAAGAUACUGUCUAAACAACCUGCAAUAAGGAGAUUUGUUUAUUCAGCAUUGAUCAUUUUGGAACAGAGAAAACAUGUAAAAGAAAUCUGGAUAAGUUUCUGCAACUUCAUAACUUUUUAACUUUACCUUUCCACAUUUGGAUCAAAUCCAAUGACAUAGUAAGUGAUGAACACCCAAACACCAACUUCAACAAAUGUGAUGGGGAUCCUGAGCACCCAUGUGGGAAGAGCAUAUGCCCAUGCAGGAUAGAAGAGAAGGUCUCUUUGCUUGUAAAAGACAGGAAGUUUUGCAAUUGCCAUGGCAAGUUCUGCCAUUCCAUUAAACAUGAUCAUGACAACAGUGAAGAACAAAGCACCCGUGUAAAUGUUUCCAUCAUCUGUUGAAUUUUUGUGCAUCUCAGUUCUUAGGAAGAGUGUCAUUGCAAUCACUGCCAUUACUGCAAGCUAAAAAUAGAAAUAAAAAUAAUAAAUUACAAUCACAUAUACAAAAUUAAAAGCCAUAGUUAUAAGUAGCAAUAAUAAUAAUAAUACUCACUUGGGUGAGUUUGAAAAUAUAAACAAAUGAGUUCCUCUUCAUCAGCAAGUACUCUCUUGACAUGUUGGCAUCCAACAGUUCCUUCUUUCUAACACCAUACUUUUUGGUCGUCAAAGCAGCUGGGUGGCUUUUGGCCCUAUCAAAUGGCGAUGCAAGCUCAUCUGCUACUUUCCGUCCAAUGUGAAAUGACUGGAAUGCCUCAGCAAAUUCUUUGACUGUGACAAAACUGUAAGGCACAUCUUUACGUGCCCAAUACUGGGCCUGAUCUUUUCUAGAUGUUACCUGCAAUGAAUUUUAAAGUUCAUGUUAUAGCUCUGUUUUUUUCUAAAAAUAAAAAAAGGGAAAAAGAUAGAAGAUACCAAAAGCUACAAAGCUAAAUUUGCACUCACUUCUUGCAGGAAGUCUGCCACACCCUUCCUUGCAGGACAUUUGAAGCCCAUGGAUUCAAAAAAUUCAACCACAUCUUCACGAGGACCCUGAUAAACAAUCUGACUAUCAGAUAGGAGAAUGAUGUCAUCAAAAAGAUUGUAAGUCUCAGGUGCUGGCUGGAGGAGAGAGAUGACAGCAGUCCCAUUGAGAAUAUGGAUGGUUUGCUUGAGAGAAUUGAUGAUUUGAUAAGUUGUUGAGCUGUCCAAGCCAGUAGAGAUCUCAUCCAUGAACAGUGCCUUUGAUGGUCCGACCAGCAUCUCACCUAUUAUUCAUACAUUUCACAUAAUUGAAUUAAAUUAAAUUAAUGAACAAAAAAUCUAAUUUGAUUUGUUCUUUCAUUUAGUUAGAAACCAAAUUAUCCCACCUGUUGUGACACGCUUCCUUUGUCCUCCAGAGAUACCCCUUAUCAUCUCAUCUCCUACCAUGGUAUCUGCACAGAUGUCUAGUCCCAGAAUCUGUAGAUUUAAAAGUAAAGAAAAACAAACAAAUCAUGAAUUAGAAUUGGGUUUUCUCAGAAAUCUAUAUGCCAUCAUUGAACGUUUUAUGGUUCUAAUACCUUCAAUGUAUAAUCAGUGACAACAUUUUCCUUCUGACCUUCUGUUGCUGCUGCCUGAAAUAUUGGAAUCCAAUGAUGAAAAUGUCAACCACCAUGGAAGCAACUUCAGUACAUUAAGAAAUUUCAUAGAUAAAAGAUUUUGACAUAGCAUAAAAUUCACAAAUUAGAUUGACUCAAGCCAUUCAUUUGAGUACAAAAAGAAAGAAACAAACUCCAGAACAGACAGAACACCGACAAUACAAAGCCAUUUUGCCCAUCUAUGUCAGAAUUCAAAAUUUAAUUUCUGGAAAAGAGCAGUAUUCAUGUUCACUAAAAGCAAAUAGCUCAAUUUCUGCAGAGCUGAUUAAAAUUUCACUAAAAGUAGAUUCUGUCUCACCUUCAUGAAGACAUCAAGAUCAGGAUCAGGCUUAAUAUUUGCUGCUUUCUCUCUUCUUGACAGCUCUGCUAACAUGUCUGCACAUGGCAAAAAUAAGAGUCAAUCUUCUAGGCUACGGAAAUGUCAUAAAAUUGCAUUCACAACCUGCAAAAAGCAGAGAAAAUAAAAGCAAAGGCAAUGGUUUAGACUAACCAUAUCGAUCUCCAACACCCUGGCAUCUUGCAGAGAAUGCCAAGGUUUCCCUUACAGUCAUUUCUCCUAUAUGGGUAUCAUGUUGGCUGAUAUAGGCUGCAGUUCUCUGGGGUACAAACUCAUUCAUGCCAUGGCCGUUGUAUGUCACCCUUCCCAUAACCUAAAGAAGGAAUUUCAGUUUUGAAAUUGGAUAUGAGAUUAAAGAAAUAAAAAAUUAAACAUUCCAUAAAGAAUGGAGGAGUAAUAAUCAUUUUCUCUCAACCUUUAGAUUGGGAUCAAGCUUGCCAGCCAAUGCCAAUAAGAGGGUGGUCUUUCCAGAACUUGGAGGACCUAAAAGCAAAGUCAAUCUGCAGAAGAAAAAUAUGCACAAAAAUCUUGAGUAUGGAUCUUCGGGACAUUCUAACUUUGAAGAACGAAAAAAUCAUUUGAGUUAUCGAUCCAUUUUUUACUAGAAACAAAUUCAUUCUCACCUGCGUGGUUUGAUGGUUCCACUAACAUCAUUGAGAAUAGUGAAUUUCCUCUUUUUACUUGGAAGAAUGCGCACAGCGUUCAGGAUACCCUUUGGAAAAGAAGGGAAAAUUAGAUCUAAAAACAAACUUACUUAAAAGAAUACUGAGUACAUAAGUAAUGAUCAGCAUUUGCAUGUAGUUACCUCAAGUUUACUAAAAAUGAAAUUAUGGAAUGAAGGCAAAGCUCUGCUUCCUACAAAAGCUUCUGCAUCGAUGGUAAGAUGCUCAAAUCUAACUUCAAUUUCGGGAACAUCUAUUCCAACUCUGAAAAAAAUGGAAGAAUCAUAAAAACCCAUUAUCAAAAAUUCAAAGGAAGAUGUUGCUUGGCUGUGGAGAAAAUGUGGGAAACACUCAUGAGGCAUAUUUCAGGUCAAGUUUUCAUUUUUUUUCCUCUUUAUGUUCUUCUGUUUUCAAUGUUCAAAAACAAAUGGCAAGGAAUGCAAGAAAGGAGAAGAAAUCUCACCUAUCGAUACGAUUCUUGAGCUUCAACAAGAACUUCUCAUUGUCCUCUUCAGCGACUUUUACCAACCGCUCCACUAAAUUCUUCUUCUCCUGAAACCCAAGGUUAUGGAUAUCAAUUUCACUGGCCUCGCCCUCGGAUCCCAUCAGCAAACCUCUCCUCAACCGAUUGUAGGUGGGAAGUUUCUCGAGUGCGGCCCAUUUCAAAGCUUCCUCAUCAUCCUCAUCCCUCGAAGAUCGGGAGAAAAUAUCCGCACCGGAGCUCCUCCAUAUCGAAGAACCGUUCCUCCUUAAACUACCACUGGCUCUAUAAAUGUCAGCAGUGGCCAUUGCAACCUGAAACGAAGAACCCUCCUGCAAGACCAACCAAAACCCACAAAAACCCAGAAAUCUUUCCUCAAAAGUCUGAGAAAGAAGCUCAGAGUUUUGAACCCUGGAGCCCAAAGAAGCUAAAAAUCAGAUACGCGUCCCCUUCCUCCCUUUUCUCUGCAUACCUUUGAACUGCUAAUACUUGAUGCCUUCAGAAUGGAGGGUUUAUAUAGGUGAUGGGUUGAACAGACCCUCAAGUUUUCUAACUUCUUGGUUUCCUAUGACUUUUCCUUAAAAAAAAUUAGCGGGGAAAUUGAAUAUAUAAGCUGCUGGGUAACGAUUCCAACGACUUUGACCCGUCAAAUUCUUAAAUAAAACACUUCUAGAGUUUCCCAAUGGGAACGCGAUCUGUUUAAAGCUUCCCACCGGCCAAAUGAACAAACUUUUUCCUUCCAACUGUUGGGUCCAGGAAGGUUCCUAGUGGACCCAAAUCCUCCAAAACUAUAUAUAUAUAUUUGGCAUUUUUUUUAACGGAUUAAAUACAUUUUUCCCGGCUUUUGCACAUAUGUCUUCUGACGACUUUACGGAAAAUCCUUGGAGAAUUGUCCUUCUAGACGUUCUAAAACGGUAAUGUUUUGGUCAAACGGAAAGUCAACCAUGGAAAAUAAAGGUUUAACAGAUAGAUAACAAUGAUGUUUUUUUUUGUGCGCAUACCCUCUGACCUCACGAACACGCACGUUUCUAGAUUUCCUUGACCUUGUGAACACGCACGUUUCUAGAUUUCCUUUACCUUAUGAAUACGCACGUUUCAAUCUAUAGUAAUGAGUACGAGUAUAGAUUACUUUAAGUGGAAAAAUUUUCUAAAUGCUCAAGAGUUUGAUAAUAAUUUUAUAUUUCACAUUAUAUAAAUCAAACUUCCCUUUUAAAACACUCAUCUUCUUAUCUCUUUCAAAAAAAAAAAAUUGAGUUGAUAUCAACAAUCAAAAAUAAAUUUAAAAAUUUUUAAAUUAAAAAUAUAAUUAAAAUUUAAAAUAUAUAAAAAAAAAUAUUCACCCCAACUACAUUUUCAACGCUUUCUUAUUAUAUAUAUUUAUAAAUCCCAAAGAUUAUCUCAAUUUUAUUUUUAUAUUUUGACCUCAAUUUUGUUAAUAAAUUUUAAAUCUUAAUAACAUGUGUUUUUUUGGCCCACUCACCCUUUAAUUUUAAUUUUUAUUAUUUUAUAUUUUUUUAUUUUAUUAUUAUUAUUACUUACUACUACUACUAUUAUUAUUAUUAUUAUUAUUAUUAUUAUUAUUAUUAUUAUGUUUUAUUUUAUUUUUUUAUUUUUUUCUUUCUUUUCUCUCUCCUCUCUCUUCUCUCUUCCUACUCUCCAACUACCCCACCCACUGUCUCUCUCUCUCCUCCCAUACCCCUCAUCCCACAACCAUACCCCGAUUACCCCCCUCCUCCUCCUCCCAUUCAUUCUUCUACUAUGGCUGGCCUCCCAUUCCCCUUUCUUUUUUUUUUUUCUUUUUUUUCUUUCUUCUGCUUCUCACCCUAGGACACACGCACAGCCGGCCCAUUUUUCCCCCAUUCUCACCGGAUUCCAGAUAUUUUUCCUCUUCUCGGCUGACUCCCACAGUAGUCAACAACCCUAUCUCCCCACUCCGUUUCUCAGCUCUUUCCCCAUUUUUCCUUCACUCCACAGACGACCAUAGCUGGCUCCCCAGUUUUCUUGAUUUUUUUUAUUUUUAUUUAUUUUUAUUUUUAUUUUGGCUACCCAAACACCACAUCUCGUCGACCCCGAUUCUCUUCUUCCUAUUUUUUCUCUCAUUUUCUCCAUUUUUUUCUCAUCUCUCUCCUUACUCACUCUCACAUGAUUGGAGCCCCCCAUUUUCUUCUUCCCCAUUUUUCAUUUUUGUUCUCUAUCCAAACACCCACUUGCAGAGACACAGGCUGACCCAUUUCUUCUCUUCCAUUUUUAUUUUUAUUUUUUAGUAUCUCCCUUUUUUUUAUUAUUAUUAUUAUUAUUAUUAUUAUUAUUAUUAUUAUUUGUUUUUGUCUUUCAAAAACACCAUCAACCCUCAUUGCGCCGGUCGGCGACCCCCUCUCAUUUCCUCUCAUUCCGUCACUUUCCUAUCCCACUCACUUUCCAUUACUAUUAUUAUUGUUAUUAUUUUUUAUUUGAUUUUAUAAAUAAAAUUGAAUAAUGAUAAAUAAAAUUGAAUAUAAUAAUAAUUGUUAUUAUUAUUGUAUAUAAUAAUAGUAAUAACAAUGAUAAAUAAAAAAUAAAUAAAUAAACAAAAGAUAAAUAUUGAGAAAGAGUUGAAAAUGCAUUAAGAGUUAACAUAUAUAUCAUUUCUAGGAUUAAAGUUUUUUUUUUUUUUUUUACUUUUUAUUGUAUUUUUUAUUUUUAAAAUCUUUUAUUUUAUUGUUUAGGCCAACCAACAAAAUUUUUAUUCAAUUUUUUUUAAAAGAGAUAAGAAGAUGGGAUGUUUUAAUCAAGAAUACUUGAUUUAUAUAAUGCAAAAUAUAAAAUUAUUAUGGGAGGAUUUUUCCACAUUGACUUGCAAUCAAUAUUAUAUAAUUAAUAAAUUAAUAAAUAUAUUUGUUAGUAAGAUAAUUUUAAUAAAUUUAUAAAUAUAUUUAUUAGCAAGAUAAUUUUAAUAAAUUAAUAUGAGAAAUCAAUUUUAUGAUAAUUUUAUUUAUUAUUGUCAAAUUUUUAGUAUCUAAAUUUUUAGGAGAGAUCAUUAAGAGGAUCUAGUUUUGCAUGAUUUUAAUAUUUGAUCCCUAGUUUUAUUACUAAAUAUGAGAUUAUGGUUCUAGGAAAAAAAAAAUUCUAAUGUUAGAAAUUUGAAAAUAUAUAUAUAAUUACUAGUCAUUAUGCAUUUAAUGCAUUGACAGAUGAUCACUUAGGCUUACAUCCUUAAUCAGUUGAGCAAUCAAUUUGACGGAAACUCAACUAGUCAAAGCUUUAACUACUAGAAAAGAGAAAAAUAACAAAUGUGUCUUGAUUUAUCAAGUCUAACCUAUUCAACAGAUUCCUCAACUCCUCAAUCGUAAAUGGCAUGGUUUAAGGUCUAAAACCUCCAAUAACUUACGUUAACCUUCUUAAAACUUUUCAAGAUAAAUUUAAAAGUAAUUUAGUUCAAGGUUUUAAUUGAAAAUAAAAAAUCGUCCAAUUCUUUGAUAUAUGUAUAAAUGAUCUUAAUUUUACACAACAUUUUAGGUUAAUUUAAGUCUUCAAGGAUCCUAAGUCUUCCAUGAUUGCUUGAGCUUUCUUUGGAUUUUCAAUAGUAAACUUAAAACUUAAUUUGAUUUAAACUAUUAGUAAUUUUAACUUUAUUUUGUAAUUAUAAUUAAAAAAACCUAUUAGGAGAAUCCUUGGGCUAAUAGUCUUGAUGUUUGAUCUUUAAGAUUAUUCAAUUCCAAAAAGAAAUGGGAGGAUCAAGGAUUUUUGUUGGUUGAAGGAGAGUGAGAGGGGCUAGCCAUGUCAAACAACACACUUUUGAUGCCUUUUGAUAAGGGUUAUAAUUGGUUAAAUUGGUCAAAAUAACCUCAAUAUUUGCAAAUUUAACCCACCUAUCAAAAAGUUAAAAAAUAAAAAUAAAUAAAUUGUUGAUUGAGACAAAAAUGCCCUUCCUUUUAUUUCCCUCCAACACUUACAACUUCUCAUCUUCUACUUCAUUUAACCUUCUACAAAAAAAACUCAUCAUCUUUUUCUUCAAAAACCAUAAAAAAAUUCUCAUCAUUUUCUUCUACUUCAUUAUCUUCUUUUGGUGUAUAGAAAGGAAAGCUUAUCUUCUAUUCUGCUUCAUUUAUAGAACAACUUCUCAUCUUUUAUCUUCUUAUUUAUUUCAUUCUCUCCAUUUGGUGCAUAGAACGGAAAGCUCAUCUUUCCUUUAGAAGCCCUAGAAAAUUUCUCGUCUAUCAUCUCAUUCUCUAUUUCAUUCCCAAUCCUUAGAAAAAUUAUCUCAUCUCAUUUUAUCCUCUAGUCUAUCCUCUUAUCCUCUCAUCUUUUUGUCAAGGUAUCUCAUAUUGUAUCUUCAAGCACGAUAAAAAAAUAAGUUCAUUGAAGAGUGAUAAGAGAAAAAGAUUAAAAAUGGUGGUGAAAAAUCAAAAAUCACAAUUGCGAAUAGAAAAAGCAAAAAUUGUGACUAUGAACUUAACUGUGGUUAAGUACUUUAUUAAUGCAACUCAACUAUUGUUAAGUUCAAGUGAAAAUUCCGACUAUGAACUUAACCGUGGUUGAGUUAUUUGUUAAUGCAACUCAACCACUAUUAAGCUCAGGUGAAAAUUCUAACUGUGAACUUAACUGUGGUUAAGUUAUUUGUUAAUGUAACUCAACCAUUGUUAAAUUCAAGUGAAAAUUCUGAUUGUGAACUUAACUUUGGUUAAGUUAUUUGUUAAUGCAACUUAAUAAUAAUUAAAUUUAUAUUAAUGCAAUGACCGUUAACUUAACCAUAAUUAAACUUAAUCAAUUAAUUUAUAUGAUAAAACUAAAACAUUAAUUUAAAAUUUCAAUCUAUAAUUCAAAAAAAUUGCUUUAAGCAUAUACAAAAAAAUAAGCUCACAAAUCCCUUCAUGACCCUAUAUAGAAAAAUAAAUAAAUAAAAAUGUAGAUACAUAGUUAAAUCAUCCUUAAAAAACAAAUUCUAUUGUAGCAUUAUUAAAGUGACUGAUGAAUUGGUUGUAAGGGAAAUUCAUGGAUGUUGAUAUUGCUCUCAACAAUAUUGACACAACUAUAUUCAUCUCUAGGAUGUAAUAGGAUUGAUCGUUCGCAUGUUUUUCGAUUAUGCUCAUAAUCACCACAUCUACCACAACAUCAUGUGUGCUUAACCUCUCCACUUGAAUGAAUUCUCUCCUUUCUUGGUCUUCCUACUGGUCGUCAACUUUUUAAAGGUAGCACAACUCUACAAUGAAUGUCUUCCUGAAUGCAAUACACAACUCUCAUUAAUUCAUGAUAUGAUAUAUUCUUCUUCACCAUAAGGUCUUUACCUUCAUUUCCUUUAAAGUGGUAUAUGUUCUCAUCUGAUACCUAAUUCCCUUUAUACAAAAGCAUUAUUCAUACCUCAUCAAUGACUGCAAAAAUAAAUAUUUCAAAUUAUCAUAUUAAGAAUGAAAUAGUACAACAUAUGAAAUACUUUUAUUAAGUUUCAAUUAUAGACUAUGUAAUGAAUCUUAAAACAUAUAUUUAUAUUUUUAUUAGAUAACCCACUACAUAAUAAUAUGUCAACAAUUCAAUCUUAGUUUUCAAUAUAGUUAUAUAAAAAUAGACUUUUGCUUUGAAUAGCAACACAUAAACUCAACUUAUGUUAAGUUAAAUCUAAAAAAUAGUAAAAUUUGUUGUUCAAUGCAGCAAUGCAACACUUCCCAUAAAUCAAAUAUCCAAAGGAACAAUAUAUAACUACAAUAGGUAUUAAUCAUAUGAGCAAUACUAAAACCAUAAUAAUUUUUCAUGCAUGUGAUUUAUUGCUUACCAUCAUUUGACCUUGUCAUAUGGAUAAAUCUUUUUAACUUCUUUUGAAUGAACUUUUCACUUUUUCAUAACUAAUAAUGGAGUCUCUAUUUUCUACCUACAAUGGUGAAGUGAGGUUUUGAAUUUUUAGAAAACAGAAAGAAAUAAAAUGAUAAUCUAAAAAAGAAAUUGUUGGUUGCUUACAUUUUUUUUUUUCAUUUUAUCGUGAUCAAGAAUGAAGAAUAAAUGAAACAAUGGUAAGAACUUAGGCUUGUUCGCUACAGGAAAACAAAGAGAAGGAGCAACCAAUGAUUGAAUAAAAAAAUAAAAACCUAAUCUACUAUAAAAAUAGAACAAAAGGGAAAGUUAUAUUGGAGGGAAAAAUGAGGGGUAUUUUUGUUUCAAUUAGGUCAACUUUUUUGCCUUUUAAGGGGUGGGUUAUAUUUGCAAAUAUGGGUGUUAUUUUGACUCGUAUAACCAAAUAAACCUUUUAAAAAGGGUGACCAUGGUAUGAUGACCCUUUCUCCUUUCCUUUUGGUUUAUUUUCAUUUCAUGGCCACUUAUUAAGAUGAGUGUUAUUCAAUAGAUCACCGUAUGUUCUUCCAAAUAAAUCAUUCCGACCUGUCUAAGCUUUGAAGAUUUUGUAACUCCAACUUGGAAUCUCCUAGAAGCAUUAAAGAUUCUUAUGCUUCCCCAAAGGAAGAUAAUAGCUACAAGGGAAGUUUCCUAGUCUAAAAUGAAAUAUAAGAAGGGACCUGUCACUUCAUCUUUGAGGUUUGGACAUGAUGGAGGCAACAUUUUGUUUGGUUGGGGAGAAAAUGUAGGAAACACCUAUCAGGCAAACUCACCUAUCCAUACGAUUCUUGAGCUUUAACAAGAACUUCUCAUUGUUCUCUUCAACAAUUUUUAUCAACCGCUCCACUAAAUUCUUCUUGUCCUGAAGCCAAAGGUUGUGUAUAUCAACUUCAAAGCCCUCACCCUCUGAUCCCAGCAACAAACCUUUCCUCAACCGAUUGUAGGUGGGGAGUUUCUCGAGUGCAGCCCAUUUCAAAGCAUCCUCGUCAUCCUCACCCCUCGUAGAUUGGGAGAAAAUCUCGACAUUAGGGGUCCUCCAUCUCAUAGAACCAGCUCUACGAGUUUUAGGAGUCGACAUUGCAAGUAGAAAGGAAGAACUCUCUUGCAAAACCAACAAGAACUUGGCAAAACCCGAACGGUUGAAAUUAUAAUCCGAGCUAAAGUCAAACUAAAAGAAUUUUAGGAAUUUGAUAAAUAUUAAAAUUGUUAUUUAUUUAGAUUUUUAUGUUAAUUAAGACUUUUGGUAUAAUAGCAAUUGGAGUCUUGGUACAUUGGUUUAUUAUAAGUUAUCAUGUUGAAAAGAAAAAAUGCAAUAAAGUAUUAUUUUAGCAAAAAUAUUAUUAAUACUCAAUUGUGUGGGUUCCAACUGAAACCUUUCCAAAGAAUAUAAACUCCUUUUUCUCUCUCUUAGUACAAUGUUAUGUCUUGUUGUAUUGCUACUACUGCAUUGUAAAAAUCAUAUAGAAUGGAAGGUUUAUGUAGUUAUUGGUAGGACAGAAAAUGAAGCGGUUCAAAAGAUUUGAAACUAGUUUAUUUUCUUGUGAUUCUUUAAGCUAUGUUUGGUUUAUGGAAAGUAGUAAGGAAAGAAAAAAAAGUGUUAAGAAAAAUGGUUUUUUUAUGUUUAGUUUCAUAAUGAAAAAUAAAAAAGAAAAUAAAAUAUAAUUAAAAUUUGUUAAAAAUUUAUAUAUUUUAAAAUUAUUUAAUCUUUGUAUAAUAGUCGAAAAUAAGUAAAAUAACUUUGAAGAAAUAUAUUGAAGUAAUUUAUUAAAUUUAAAUUUAUUUAAAUUUUCUUCAUUUUUUUUUCUUUCUACUUUUCCUCUUUAUUUUUUUUCCUUCACAUUUUUUCUCAUAUUUUUUGGGAACCAAACAUAGCCUAGAAAAUUAGUGAGGGAAAUCGACUAUAAAAAAGUUUGUGCAAUGACUCCAUAAUAUUGUACGCAUGCCACCAUUUUUUUUUUCCUUUCAACUUCCUAUAUUAAGACUUUCACGGUUCAUAAUUUUUGGUUUCUUACACUUUCUUUAGCAAGUAAACAAAAAUGUGAAUUAUUGAAUGUUUUGUUAGUUUUUAAAAUAAGAAAUAUAAUACUCAAUUUUAUACAUGUUUUCAGGCAUGUUUGGUAUGUAAGUUAUGAUAGGAUAGAGUAUCUAUAUUCUAUAAUAUCAAAUAUGCAUUAAAUGAAAAAUGCAUAUUUUAAACUAUAAUUUCAAUGAGAUAUGAUAUAUUUUUUAUAUUAAAUCCAAUAUGAUAUUGUAAGAUGACAUAUCCAAUGCAUUUCCUAAAAUAAAUGAUUUCCAUAUAUUUUUUAAGAUUAUUAAAUCCAAUGGAUAUAAUAUUCUAAGGUAACAUAUCUAAUGAGAUAGGUAAUGUAACAUUAUGCUUAUAUUUAAUUUGUAAAAUGAAUAAAAAAUAAAAUGGAUUAUAUAUUAUUUUAUAACAUAUCUUCUAUUUUAACCAUAAAUUUAACUUUGCAAUAAAAAAAAAUAUUUUACUAAAUAAGUGAUAAAAAAUAAAAAAAUAAUAAAAGAAAAAUAAAUUUAUGAUACAUAGAAUAAUAUAUCUCACUACUUAUCCGAUGUAGAAGGAAUAUAAAAAAGAUAUAGAUAAUAUAUAUCACUACUUAUUCUACCAUAUGUUCCAUCCACCCAACCAAACCAUGACCUUACGAUAUAAAAAAAUUAAAGUUUAAUAGCAUCCACAUUAAUAAAAACAAACAAUUUACGAAUAUAAACCAAACAAUCAAACACUCAAAUGAUAUUUCGCUCUAUUUAGACUAAUGAAAAAUAAACAAUUUAAAUAUUAAAAAACAUUCCACUUUAUUAAGCUUUAAGGUUAGAAUCUUAAAAAAAAGUUGCUUUAAGAAUAUUUUUUAGAGUUAUUUCAAAGGAAUGGAAUUAUUUGUUUUUUUUUUUUUUUCAUUUAUGUCGUAAAGCAAAUUAUUUUAAAAUUUAAAAUCAAAAUAUAAAAAUUUUAUUUUUUAUAUUAAGAUAAAAUUGUCUUAUAAAAAGUAACAAGUUAAAAAACAAAUAAUUUUUAUAAUGACUUAAGUCUUAACACUAUUAAGCAUUAUUUAGAUAUAAGGUUUAUUUAAUUUUUUUUUUUAUAAAAAAAUACCAUCUUUCACAUAAGAUUUAAGUAGGUUUAACCUAUUCGAAAUUGCUUGAAAUCUAAGAGGUUAUUUGUUUUUUAAACUUAAAUCUUAAAGCUAGUUGCUUUAAAAUUUAAGAUAAAACUAAAUAAAAUAAAAUAAAAUAAAAACUUUUGUUAUUAAGACAAAAUUUUCUUUUAAAAAUGAUAAACUAAAAAGAUAAUUUGAAAAAUGACUUCCAUCUUAAAGCAACUCUUUUUAUUAGGAUUCCAUGUCUAUCCUAAUUAAAAUUAAUAAUCAACUUGAUUUUGAGUAAGUUUAUAUUAUUGUUAACCGACAUUAUUUUUCAAUAAAAGCAUUUGCGAAAACAUAAACACAUUUAUGCUUCAAUAAAUGGAAUACAUUUUUUAGUAAUAUAACCAUACUUUAUUUAAAAAAAAAAACAUAUUAGUCUAAUAAUCGAUAUUCAUAAUUGAUAAUAUCAUAUAUUAAAAAUUAUGAACGGUGAAUAACUAAUAUAUAUGGAUUAUUAAAGUAACGAUGAGCAUACAACCUAUGUAACUUGGUGAAAACUUUUUUGUCCAUCUGUUUUUGCUUUGCUUAUUAAAAAAUAAAUUAUUAAAGCAAUAAUGAGCAUAAAAAUUAAUUAAAACAAUAACUAUCACUCAAAUGAAGUAUUAUAGGCUCUAUUGAUAAUUGUUUUUAAAAACAAUUUUUAUUCUCCAGAAUAAAAAAACAAUGAAACAAGUUUGAUAAUAGAAAACAAAAAACAUUUUAUUGUUUUUUUUUAUAAAAAAAAGACAUUGUUUUUUCAAUCCUUUAAUUGUUUUCACUUUUUUUAAGGAUUACUAAAAAAAAUUAACCAAAUGAUUAAAAAUAAAACACUACAUGUAAAAAUUAUUUUAAACCAUAUUUAAAAAUAUAGAAAAUAGGUUAAAAAUAUUUUAGAUUUUUAAAUAGACUUUUGUUUUAUAAAAAAUCAAAUAACAAUUUUCAAAAAUUAUUUUUAAAAAUUGUUUUCAAAAAAACAUUUUUCAUAUAGAACCCUAUCCUACCAACUAUAUAUAUAUAUAUAUAUAUAUAUAUUCACACAAUGCUAAUGCUAUGAAAAGGUAAUGAUAAUAGAGAGUAGAGAAGAACUUACUAAAUUGAAGAUCGAACAAGUCUUAGAAAAACAUUGUCAGUAAGACAUGGGAUGAGAACGAUUUCAUAUAGCUACUGAGAUUGUCCUCAAAGUUACAGCUAGUAAAAUUGUCCUCAAAGUUGUUCUUCAAAAACAAAAAUACUAUAAAUGGUUGGAUCCAACCUUUCAAGGAAACCAAAGCCUUUUUUUUUGAUAAAGAGAUUUUUUUUUUCCCUUCUAAAAUGAACAUUCUAUAUAUAGAAUCUGAAGGUAUUAAACUGUGCCUCCAAGUAGUUUGACUGUAAAGUAAAAUUCAAUCCUAUGUGUUGAUUGUUCUUGUGGUUUGCUAAUUGGUCAGGCAAUCGAUCUUUCCUCAAGUGGUUUCCAUAUUAUCAUUUUUCAUCUUUUUCCUCAUCAUUUUUAUCCUUUUCCAUAAGUAAAAAAAUAUUUAAAUAAAUUAUUUCAUUAGCAAUUUGUUGAAUACUUGAAAAUAAAUUAAAUAAGAGAAGUAUUCACAUAUUUUUUACUUAAUUAGUCAUGAUGACAUUAAUAAUGAGAGUAAGGUAUAACCAAAUAAGACUAAGAUAGGAAAAAAAUGAGACCAAAAAAUUUGUCUCUAAAAGGUAUGAAAAAUUGAGAAUCAAAUAUGAAUUCAGGAGAUAUAGGUAUAAAUUUAACAAUAAAAAUGUUAAUUAUGCUUAAAUGUAUGAAUUUAAGAAAAUCUUAAAUUUUGCUCAUAAUUAUUCAUGAUCACGUCAAAUUUAUAUAUAGGAAUGGUUGANNNNNNNNNNNNNNNNNNNNNNNNNNNNNNNNNNNNNNNNNNNNNNNNNNNNNNNNNNNNNNNNNNNNNNNNNNNNNNNNNNNNNNNNNNNNNNNNNNNNAGCAAUGCAUAACCAAAUGGUACUAAGAUAGGAAAUAAUGAGACCAAAGAACUUGUCUUUAAAAGGUAUGAAAAAAUAAGAUUCAAAUACCAAUUAACUAGAUAUAGGUAUAAAUUUAAUAGGAGAAAUAUUAAAUACGCUUAAGGUUAUGUUUGGUUCCAGGAAACUAUUAAGAAAAGAAAAAAAAAUAUAAAGGAAAAUUAUUUUCUGUUUGAUUGUUUUAUGAAAAAUAUAAAAGAAAAUCAAAUAUAAUUAAAAUAAACAGAAUGAGUUUAAAGUUAUAAAUAAAAAUAAUUUAUCGACUUUUAAUUCUUUCGUAUUUUCCCACAAAUUUUCAUGGAACCAAACAUAGCAUAAAUGUAUGAAUUUAGGAAAAUAAAAAAUUUUGGCCAUAAUUUUUCAUCAUUUCAUCAAAUAUAUAUAGGAAUGGUUGAAAAUAAUGAGAGCAAUGUAUAACCAAAUGAUAUUAAGAAAAUAAUGAAAUCAAAUAAUUUGUCACUAAAAGGUACUGAAAAUGAGAGUCAAAUAUGAAUUUAUGAAAUACAAGUAUAAAUUUAAUAAGAGAAAUCCUAGUAAUGCUUAAAUAUGUGAAUUUUAGAAAUUCUAAAAUUUUGACCAUAAUUAUUCUCACAUCAAAUAUAUAUAUAUAUAGGAAUUGUUGAAAAUAAUGAAACCAAAAAAUUUGUCUCUAAAAAGUACCAAGAAAUGAGAAUCAAAUAUGAAUUAAUCAAAUAUAAGUAAAUUUAGUUAGAGAAAUAUUAACAAUGCUUAAAGAUAUGAAUUUAAGAAAAUCUAAAAUUUUAACCAUAAUUAUUCAUGAUUACAUUAAAUAUAUAUAGGAAGGGUCGAAAAUAAUGAGAGCAAUGUAUAAGCAACUGGGACUAAGAAAAUAAUGAAACAAAAAAAUUUGUCUCUAAAAGGUAUGAAAAAAUGAGAGUAAAAUUAUGAAUUAAUGAGAUAUAGGGAUGAAUUUAACAAGAGAAAUAUUAAUAAUGCUUAAAUAUAUGAAUUUAAGAAAAUCUAAAAUUUUGGUCAUAAUUAUUCAUAAUCACAUCAAAUAUAUAUAGUGAUGGGUGAAAAUAAUGAGAUCAAUGUAUAACCAAAUGAGACUAAGAUAGAAAAUAAUAAAACUAAAAAAAUUCUCUAAAAUGUAUGAAAAAAAUGAGGUUAAAUAUGAAUUAACAUAUGUAAAAAUUUAAUUAGAAAAAUAUUGACAAUCUUAAGUAUGUGAAUUUAAGAAAAUCUAAAAUUUUGACCACAAUUAUUCAUGAUCACAUCAAAUAUAUAUAGGAACGGUUGAAAAUAAUGAAAGGUAUAAUCAAAUGAGACUAAGAUAGAAAAUAAUGAAACCAAAGAAUUUGUCUUUAAAAGUUACAAAAAUAAAAAAAAAUGAGAGUCAAAUGUGAAUUAAUGAGAUGUUGGUAUAAAUUUAAUCAGAGAAAUAUUAAUAAUGCUUAAGCAUAUGAAUUUAAGAAAAUCUAAAAUUUUGGUCAUAAUUAUUCAUUAUCACAUCAAAAUAGGACGCUUGAAAAUAAUGAGAGCAAGGUAUAAUCAUACGAGACUAUGAUUAUCAAACUACUUCAAAAUCAAAAUCCUUAAUAGAAUCAAAUCAUCAAGAUGAUGUUAGUCUUUUUCAAAACAUUGAAGAAAAUCUAAGCCAAAGUUCCAAUGACCAAGAAAUAUGCAUAAAAGAUAGUUGCCGACCAAAGACCUUAAAAGUAAUCACUAAGGAAUAAGAAUUGAUUUUAGAAUUACUUAUUAAGGUUAAAGAUUCUUCAAUAAGAACAUAAUUAUGUGAAAUUUGUAAGAAAUCGAUUUCUAAACUAGAAAUGAAAAAAAAACUAUAAAACCUUAUAACUUCGAUGAAAUAUUGACAAGAUUUAACUAUAAUUCCCUAAAAAAGUGAUUAUUAAAGAUCUUCAAUAGGAAAUAAGAUGAUGUUAGAAGUUAGAGAAUUAAGACAAUGCACCAACAUAUGUUUAACAAACCUUCAAGAACAAAUUAAUUAGAUAGUAAGUAACAAGAAUUAAUUUAUCCUAAAAUCCUUAUAAGUUAAUGAAGAUUUAUCACACUUAUAUCUCAAUGUUAUAAAUAGGGUCAUCUUUAAAAAAAUGCAAUGUUUCCCUAACAAUUGUGAUUAACAAUGAGUUCAUCGCUAAGAUUAAUUGUUGUCUUAAUAGAUUCAAGAGUAGCUUCUUUAUGACAUGCUAUUAGGUCAAACUUAAGAUUAGCUACAAAUUGUCUAAGGCUCAUAUCAAUAAUCAAGGGAUAUGCACACAACAUUUAAUUUGGUAUAAGAUUUAAGAGAGAAAUAUCCUUGGAAUACCCUUUUUAAUUGUCUACCCUAUCACUAGAGUAGAUGGUAAAGGUAUAAGACUAAACUCUUAAAUCAAGAGACUCUUUUUGAAUUUGCAUAUCCUCUAAAAAGAAACCUAAAUAAAUUAAGAUCCUUGAUUAUUUCUAAAAAAAUAUAGGCUAAGGAUAAUCAUAUCAAUUUUUUAGUUCAAGAAGUUAGAUAUAAGAGAAUUGAAGAACAAUUGGAAGUUAAAAAGACUCAAGAUGCUAUCCAAUAAUUCAAAGAAAAGUUGGUUAGAGAAGUCCAUCCUAAAUUCCCUAAUGUAUUUUGGCAUAGGAAUGAACAUGUAAUAGAACUACCUUACAACCUAGAAUUUAGGGAAAAUGAUAUUCCCACUAAGGCAAGACCAAUUCAAAUGAUUCAAAAACCAUUGAGAUAUUAUGAAAAGGAAAUUUAAGAACUCUUUGAUAAAAAAUUAAUAAAGAAUCCAAAUCUCCUUGAAGUUGUGUAUGCGCAAAUUUCGUGAAGUCUUGCAAAACAACCAAAAACUAUAGGAAAAAUCUAUGUGAUCAAAACUUUAUAUUGAAAUUAAUUGAUUGUGCGGUAUAGACUCAAAUAUAAUAUUCUUUACAAAAAAAUAUUUUCCCUUUGAUUCAUUCACUUUGAUUACAAUCCCAAAGAUGAUGACAAGAGUCUUUUCUUGAUUAUUUUAGAAAAUCAAUCCAAGGCUUAGAGUGGUUUUUUCUUGAAUGAACUUGUUAAAUGGUGAAAAACACGUUUAUGCAUUUUCUCAUACUUGCAGGGAGAUUUUAUAAUAAUAAUAAAAAAAUUCUUUGUAAAGCUUUUUUUCCUAUGUGAAGUCCUUUUGCCAAUCUCUCUUUUCCUUGAAAGAAGUCACCUUUAUUUAUAGGUGAAGAUAGGAAAUUAAAUUUUGAAUUUCAAGAUUUGAUUACUUCAUUCAAGGAAUUUGGUUCCUUGAUUAUUUUCAUAACUUUUCUCCUUCCUCACUAAAGUUUUGUCAACAAGAUAAUAUCUAUUAUUUGGUUGGAGAUUUUUGUUCCCCUUUUUUUAGGAAACUUGUUAAAAAGAGAAUAUCUAUUUCUACUUCUCUUCGAUUAGAAGACUUAAUUUCAUAGUCUUCCAAAUUUUACUACGUGUUACCUUCAAAGUUGCAUGCCACAUGUCUAAUGACUUGUCAAGCCUAAAUUUUGUUGAAAUAUGAAGUUACAAUUUUGAAGUCCGAUUUAAUGGUAAUUUAAUCCACUAAAAAUUUGGAUAGCUACAAAUUUCUCUAUUGUUUAUGUUAAAAAACAAACAAAAUUUGAAAGAGGAACACCUAGGCUUGUGAAUAAUUACAAACCCCUUAAUGAAGCCUUAAGAUGGAUUAGGUAUCAUAUUCCAAAUAAGAGAGACCUUCUUCAAAGAUUAGUUAAUUAGUCUAGGAUAUUCUUUAAGUUUGACGUGAAAUCAAGCUUUUUUGGCAAAUCCAGAUCAUAGAAAAAAAACAUGUAUAAAACAACUUUUACAAUACCAUUUGGACAUUAUGAAUGGAAUUUAGUAUCAUUUGGUAUUAAAAAUGUCCUCUCAUAAUUUCAAAACAUUAUGAGGCAACUGUCCUAAUGAUGAACUCAUUGUUAAUUACAAUUGUUAGGAAAAUAUUUCAUUUUUGAAAGAUGAUCCUAUUUAUAACAUUGAGAUACGAGUCUGAUAAACCUUCAUUGACUUUUGAGGAUUCUAAGAUAUCUUGAUUUUUAUUACUUAAGAUCUUAUUAAUUUGUUCUUGAAGGUCACUUAAACUUAUAUUGGUGUAUUGUCUUAAUUCUUGAACCUCUAUGUGUGCGUGCGUGCGUGUUCUCAUAACAAUUGCAGCAGCUCUUGCAUCUAGCCCUGAAGUUGGCUCAUCCAUGAAUAUUAUUGAGGGAUUUGCCACAAGCUCAACUGCAAUGGUCAGCCUCUUGCGCUGCUCAGUUGAGAGACCAUUUACACCUGGCAACCCAACUAGUGUGUCCCUCAAUGGGGUCAGUUCAACGAGCUCCAUGACUUCCUCAAUGAACAUCUGUAACCAUUAGCAAGGAUUAGAAAUUGUUUGAACCGGCACUUUUCCCCAGAGUGAAGCUCAACCAAUUUUGGGAUGAUGCACACUAAGCAAGGCUUCCAAAAUUCUGAACAAUCAAAGCAAGUGAUUCUACAAUUCAAAGCAUAACUGCUUCAUUUGGAUAUGAUCAUCAGGAUACCACUGUAUGAGCACCAAACUUUCUUUCAUUGAAUGAGUUGAAUACUAGGAAAACUGAACUACUUCUCUUCAUGGGUCCAACAUAUCAGUAGAAAUGGGAUCUGAAAGCGCAGACAUGGAACCGCUGGAAAUAACUCUGAACCUUCUGAAGAAGGCCACAACUUCCCUUUUUGAUAACUCAAGUCUAAAUUUAAGAGCAUUGCAAACCCUGCCCCUGGUACACACUUUGUUGGCUUUGAAACCAAACUAUUUUCAUGUUGAUACCGUGUCUUUAUGAUUUCGGCUACUUAAAGCAGCUACCAAAAGUGGAGCACCAUACUGGUAAGUUGGUAAUCAAGAUGAAAGGAUUGCAUAAGGCUAUAUUAUUGUCUUGAAUUUCAAAUUUUAAAUUACAAAAAAAAUUAGGAGAAAACAAAAUACAAUAAAAUUGGGAGAAAACAAAAUACAAGAAUUUAACAAGAUAAAUACUACCCGCUAUGACACUCUCUAACAGCCUAGACAUAGACCAAAACUUUUAUUCAUCUGUGAAGAACUUGUGCUGUUAUCGCCUUUGGAAGUUAAAUGCCUUAAUGGCAAAGGCAAAUAUAAAUAAGAAAAGCACCGUAAACCCAACAAUCACAACUGCAACCACUCCAAGGAAAUCAUGUUUGAAUCCAAGGUAGUCAUCCAAGUAUUGUUUCACUGUUACAUUUGAGUCAAGUAGUGUGUCCUCGAUAUCUCCAAACUGUGAUGUAACCAAUCCAUACAAACUCCAUGCAACUGGACAGGCCCAAUAGUACCAUCUCCACCACACAGGAAUCCUCUGUAUUCAUCAUGUAAGAAAUGCAACAAAAUGAGAUCGUUUCUGUAUCCAUGUGCUAAAGAAAGUGGCAAUUUAAAGAAUUAUGGGUUGAGAGCACUUACAUUUCGUGGGACUAUAAAACCUGAGAAGAGGUUCCAUAAUGUAUAAAAUGCUAAGGCAACGAUGGCAGCAAUAUGUUGAUUUGGUGUGGCAGCCACAGCCAUCAUGCCAUAAAAGGUGAAGUACAGUAAGGUGAAGAACAUGAAGAACAGAUACCAGAAGAACUUAGCAGCUGUCCAUUCAAAUCCAAUCAUUGCAUAAACUAUAACACCAUACGCCACAGCUUGUGAAAAGACAUAAGGUAUCUCAACUAAAGCCUGAAAGAAGAGAUGAAAUUUGAUUAAUAAAACCCAUAAAGUAUUAGAGAUAUACGAAGUCUAUAGCAUAAGAAAACUAAUUACCUGUGCAAAGGCAUAUGGCAUGGCUGAAUACAUUCCUGCAGCUCUUUCUCUGUAAAAGACUGUCCGUUCAACUGCCACGACUGGUUGCACCGAUUGGCCAUUCUGAAACCCAAGGAAGAGAACAGCGGCAUACAUAGAGCCCAUUGCAUUAGAUAUAUCUUGUUGUCUUGUCCUGCAUUUGCCAAUGUGAAGUAAAAAUUAAAGUUGAUAUGGAGAAGCAUACUGAGUUCUCAAAAUUCUGAACUGACUUCAAACUACCUUUUGGUGCCGAGAUCCCAGAACAUUGUCCCAAACAUCAAGGCUACGAAAGUUGUGAAGAAAAAUCUCACUGCCGUGUAUGGUGGAUUUCGCCAGUAUGACAAACGUUGUUUCCAUAAGCAUGCCAUACACUGGGUGAAGAAGGACUGGGAGUAUUGAGUAGGGAAAUAGAGGUCCUUAGAACCAGGGGUAGGUUGGCUCAAUUCUUUAAUUAAAUCUUUGUUUCUCCUGAAACAUAUGCCACAUCUUAGAAAAGGCUUCAACAACAAAUUCAAGCUUGCAUGAUGAACUUUGAAAUGGCUGUAUAUGACAUUUCAAUAUCAUAAAGCAUUCAGAUAUCCUAUAGUUGAAUCACCUGUAUAUGUCUGACUUUUCGUAUAUUUCGGUGAAAUCCACCCCCAAAAUUAAUUCUUGUGCAGAAGCGGUAACUUCCAACAUCCAAGUUGCAGGGUUAUAACCAUCUUUGAUUUUACUUACUCCUUCAAUUCCCUUAAUGAAAGCAAGUCACAUGUAUUAGUAAGCACUUUAUAUGAAUUAACUUAAACUAAAGUAUUUGCUGCUUAUAGCUUUUAAUUUAUCAUGGAAGUUUACCUCAAAAUACUUUAUCAGAUGGGAAGAAUGUCUACCCAGUGGUCCCAUAUAUAUCUCUUGCCCUCCACGCUUCAACAGGAGCAACUGCAAACCCAUUUUGAAUAUGUCAGUACUUAUAUGCAGGAGAGCAUAGAAGAGAAUAAAUCCUUUCUAUCCAUUAACAUUUCCCACCUCAUCAAAGGCAUCAAAGAUGUCAAUACUUGGCUGAUGGAUGGUGCACACAACUGUUCUUCCUGUGUCCACUGUGUUCCUGACUGUUCUCAUAACAAUUGCAGCAGCUCUUGCAUCUAGCCCUGAAGUUGGCUCAUCCAUGAAUAUUAUUGAGGGAUUUGCCACAAGCUCAACUGCAAUGGUCAGCCUCUUGCGCUGCUCGAUUGAGAGACCAUUUACACCUGGCAACCCAACUAGUGCACCCCUCAAUGGGGUCAGUUCCACGAGGUCCAUGACUUCCUCAAUGAACAUCUAUAACCAUUACCAAAGAUUAGAAAUUGUUUGAACCAGCACUUUUCCUCAAGAGUAUAGGUCAAGCCAAACUUGAACCUGACCAUAGCUCAACCAAGUUUGAAAAAUCAAUUCUAGGGCUUUGCUUGUUCAGAGCACUAAAUUCAAUAAGAAAAAUGUGGAAACAACACAGAAAACUCUCACCUUUCUUGUUUCAGCAUCCACAUUAGGAGGCAAUCGCAGCCAAGCUGAGUAGAGCAAGGACUCAUGGACAGUAACAUGAGGAGAGUGGAUGUCAUUCUGCUCACAGUAUCCAGAAAUGCGAGCAAAAGUCUCUUGCUUCUUUGGGUAGCCAGAAAUGCUGAUGCUACCCUCAAUAUAUCCACCAGUUUUCCGACCAGCCAAUACAUCCAUGAGAGUGCUUUUACCAGCACCACUAACACCCAUCAAAGCUGUAAGAACACCAGGCCUGAAAGCACCACUCACCCCCUUCAGAAGCUCCAAUCUGUCUUCAGGGACACCCUGACUUUUCAUUUCCUGCAAAUUCAAUUCAAACAACUUAGUUCUCAUUUUUGGUUUAUUAGUGCUGAUAAAACAUGUACAUUAUUUGCAUUAAUAUGAAGUUACCUCUGGCAUGUCAACUGAGUAUCUAAUAUCAUCAAAGGUGAUAGAAAGUGGUUGGAAUGGAAGAACCAUUCCUUUUUUGUUGUUACGUCUCGCCUCAGCAAUGGCUUCUGCCCUCACAGAAGAGGAUACGGAUGAGAUACUUCGCCCAAUUUCCUCUCCACUCUCUGCAUGUUAAGUUUAAAUUUAGAGAGCAAUAUAGAACAUGGGGUUAAAUGACAAGAACACAGGCACACAAAGGCAUGCAAGCACCAUGUAUGAGUUUCAUCACCUGUGGAUGCGGUUUGGUCAAUCGAGCCUUUUCUAUGGGACGAUAACUCAAUCUUUCCUUCAGUUUUGGCAUUGUCGGACUCUACUGUUAUAACAGCUCGAGGCUUCUCAAAUGCUGCACAAUUUGCAAAAAUCUUAAUACACUAACCUCCAAUAAUUUAGGAGUUUCAAUGCAGAGACGGUAAAGAUACUCACGAUUUAGGUAAGUCAGAGCCACAGUGUAACAGAAGUUGAAGACAAAUAUGAAUCCAAGCAGUGCCCCAGCUCCUAUCCAGUACCAGUGUGCCUCCGUGAAGAACCCACGAGCCUUCAAUACUGCUACUCCAAGGGAUUCUGUUGAAUUGGUAGAAGCAUUCUGAAAAAUGGAAAUACAUUCAAUCAUCAGUGACUGACACACAUAAAUAAACACAAAUACUCACAUGCAAAAUCCAAGAACUUACUUUGCUCCAACUCUUCCCAAGGAAUUCAUUUACCACUAUUGCGUUCUGUGCAUACAUCAUAGGGGAAGACCAGUAACCCCAAAUCCACCAUUUCUUGACACUUUCUGCAGCAUUGACCAAAUACAAAAAGAAAACAAAAAUCCAUUAUUAGUGUUUAUCAACAAGAAGGUUCUACAUUUCCUGAAAAUUUCUUUCCUCCUUAUACCUCGUGACAGGACAAAACCACCCAAUGCAAAGGGCAGAACUAAUGCAAAUGACCCAAAUGUGUUUGCAACAAUCAUGCUUCUACAAGCUGCUGCUAUAAAUCGAAAUAAUGAAGAUGCCGUCUGAUUAAGAAGCAAGAGGAGAAGAUACUGUCUAAACAAUCUGCAAUAAGAAGAUUUGUUUAUUGAGCAUAGAUCAUUUUGGAACAGAGAAAACAGGUGAAACAAAUCUGGACAAGUUUCUGCAACUUCAUAAGUUUUUAACUUUUACCUUCCCACAUUUGGAUCAAAUCCAAUGACAUAAUAAGUGAUGAAUACCCAAAGACCAACUUCAACAAAUGUGAUGGGGAUCUUGAGGAACCAUGAGGGAAGAGCAUAUGCCCAUGCAGGAUAGAAGAGCAGGCCUCUUUGCUUGUAAAAGACAGGAAGUUUUAGAAUGGUCAUGGCAAGUUCUGACAUUCCAUUAAACAUGACCUUCAUGACAGUGAAGAACAAAGCACCAGUGUAAAUGAUUCCAUCUUCUGUUGUGUUUUUGGGCAUCUCAGUUCUUAGGAAGAUUGUCAUUGCAAUCAUUGCGACUAUUGUGAGCUAAAAGCAGAAAUAAAAAUAAUAAAUUACGAUCAAAUGUACAAAAUUAAAAGCCAUUGUUAUAAGUAACAACAAUAAUAAUACUCACUUGGGUGAGCUUGAAAAUAUAGACAAAUGAAUUCCUCUUCAUCAGCAAGUACUCUCUUGAGAUGCAAGCAUCCAACAGUUCCUUCUUUCCAACACCAUAUUUUUCAGUUUUCAAAGCAGCCGGGUGGCUUUUGGUCUUGUCGAAUGGAGUUGCAAGCUCAUCUCCUAGUUUCCGUCCAAAGUGAAAUGACUGGAAUGCCUCAGCNNNNNNNNNNNNNNNNNNNNNNNNNNNNNNNNNNNNNNNNNNNNNNNNNNNNNNNNNNNNNNNNNNNNNNNNNNNNNNNNNNNNNNNNNNNNNNNNNNNNAUCUUUAUGUGCCCAAUACUGCUNNGAUCUUCCUAGAUGUUACUGCAAUCAAUUUUAAAAUUCGUGUUCUAGCUUGGUUUUUUCUAAAGAAGGGAAAAAAUGAGAAGAUGCCAAAAGGUACAAAGCUAUUAGCACUCACUUCUUGUAGGAAGUCUGCCACACCCUUCCUUUCAGGACAUCUGAACCCCAUGGAUUCAAAAAAGUUAAGAACGUCUUCACGAGGACCCUGAUAAAUGAUCCGGCUAUCAGAGAGAAGAAUGAUGUCAUCAAAAAGAUCGUAAGUCUCAGGUGCUGGCUGGAGGAGAGAGAUGAGAGCAGUCCCAUUGAGAAUGUGGACGGUUUGCCUGAGAGAAUUUACGAUUUGAUAAGUUGUUGAGCUAUCCAAGCCAGUAGAGAUCUCAUCCAUGAACAGUGCCUUUGAUGGUCCAACCAGCAUCUCACCUAUCAUUCAUAUAUUUUCAAAUAAUUGAACUAUAUUAGAUUAAUGAACAAAAAAUAUCUUCUUCUUCUUCUUUUUUCCUUUUUCAUGUUAGAACACAAAUUAUCCUACCAGUUGUGACACGCUUCCUUUGUCCUCCAGAGAUACCCCUCACCAUUUCAUCUCCUACCAUGGUGUCUGCACAGAUUUCUAGUCCCAGAAUCUGUAAAUUUAAGUGUAAAUGAAAAUAAACAAAUUAUGAGUUAGAACUGGGUUUUCUCAGAAAUCUGUAUUCCAUCAUUGAAAGUUUUAUGGUUAUGAUACCUUUAGUGUAUAAUCAGUGAUCACAUUCUCCUUCUGGCCUUCAGCUGCCGCUGCCUGAAAUGUUAGAAACCAAUAAUGAAAAUCUCAACAACCAUUAAAGUUAGUUUGGUACAUCAAGAUAUUCCAUGGAUAAGAUCGACAGAACAUCAAGAAAACAAAGUCAAUUUGCAUAUCUAUGUGAGAGAUCAAAAUUUUCAUUCUAGAGAAGACAAGUGUCCAUGUUCUCCACGAAAAACAAAUAGCUGAUCAAUUUCACAAAGUAGCUUCUGUCUCACCUUCAUGAAGACAUCGAUAUCAGGAUCGGGCUUUAUAUUUGCUGCUUUCUCUCUUCUUGAGAGCUCUACUAACAUGUCUGCAGAUAGCCAAAAUAAGAGUCAAUCUCCUGGCCUAGGCAAAUGUCAUACAACUACAUCCACAACCUUCAAAAACAAAGAAAAUAAAAGUGAAGGCAAUGGUUUAGACUAACCAUAUCGAUCUCCAACACCCUGGCAUCUUGCAGAGAAGGCCAAGGUUUCCCGUACAGUCAUUUCUCCUAUAUGGGUAUCAAGUUGGCUUAUGUAGGCGGCAGUUCUCUGGGGUACAAACUCAUUCAUGCCAUGACCGUUGUAUGUCACCCUUCCCGUAACCUAAACAAGAAAUUUCAGUUUUCAAAUUGGAUAUGAGAUUAAAGUGCUAAAAAUUGCAUCAAAGAAGAAAAGCAAUAAGAGUUUUUUUUUUUUUUUUUUCCAUUCAACCUUUAGACUGGAAUCAAGCUUUCCGGACAAAGCCAAUAAGAGAGUGGUCUUUCCAGAACUUGGAGGACCCAAAAGCAACGUCAUUCUGCAGAAAAAAAAUUAUGCACAAAAAAUUGAGUAUUGAUCUUCAGGGCAUUCUAAAUUUGAGAAAGGAAAAAAUCAUUUGAUUUAUCAAUCAAUUUUUUACUAGAAAUAAAUUCAAAUUCUCACCUUCCGGGUUUGAUGAUUCCGCUAACAUCAUGAAGAAUGGUGAAUUUCUUCUUUCUACUUGGAAGAAUUCGAAGAGUGUUCAAGAUAUCCUUUAAAACAGAAAGAAAAAUUAUAAUCUAAAAACAAACUUUCCCAAGAGAGUACUUAUUGAUUAGCUAAUGAUCUGCAUUUUCAUUUUAGUUACCUCAAUUUGAUUAAAAACAGAAUUAAUGAAUGAAGGCAAAGCUCUGCUUCCUACAUGAGCUUCUGCAUCAAUGGUAAGAUGCUCAAAUCUAACUUCAAUUUCGGGAAGAUCAAUCCCAACUCUGAAAAAUGGAAGAGCCACGAAAACUCGUUAUUAAAAAGUCAAAGGAAGAUGUUGUUUGGUUGCAAAGAAAAUAUAGGAAACACUAUCAGGCAUACUUAAGAUGAAUUCUUUCUUUUCCACUGUUUUCAAUGUUCAAAAAGAGGCAAGGAGCGCAAGAAAAGAAGAGAAAUCGCACCUAUCCAUACGAUUCUUGAGCUUCAACAAGAACUUCUCAUUGUCCUCUUCAGCGAUUUUCACCAACCGCUCGACUAAAUUCUUCCUUUCCUGAGGCCCAAGGUUGUGUAUAUCAACUUCACUGGCCUCACCCUCUGAUCCGAUCAGCAAACCUUUCCUCAGCCGAUUGUAGGUGGGAAGUUUCUCGAGGGCAGCCCAUUUCAAAGCUUCCUCAUCAUCCUCAUCCCUUGAAGAACGGGAGAAAACCUCCGCACCAGAGUUCCUCCAUAUGGAAGAACUGUUCUUCUUGAAACUACCACUGGCUCUACGACCACUGGCUGUAUAAAUUUCAGCUGUUUCCAUUGCAACACGAAACGAGGAACCCCCCUGCAAAACUAACCAGAACCCACCAAAACCCAGAAAUUUUUCCAAAAAAUCAGGAGAAGCCCAAGUUUUGAUCUCUGGAGCUGAAAAAAACUCAGAGAUGGGUGUCCUCCCCUCUUUUCUCUAUGCACUUUGUAGUGCUAAAACCUUGUUCUAUGUUAGAAAACCAUGAGGAAUGGAAGGUUUAUAUACUGGUUCGAAGGACAGAAUCAGAGGCGGCCUAAAAGUUUCAAAUUCUUAUUUUAACAUUUUCACAAUUCUCCACUAUCUUGUUUGUCAAGUAAAUGGAAAAGUGAAUUAUUAAAUGUUGUCCUAACCGCAAACUAACUAACUUUCCCGGGCCAAACUAACUAAAUUCCAAAUGUAAAACAUUUAUGGCAUCUUGUUUAUACUCUUGUUUAAUGAUAUGAUACUUUCGGUUUAGUUUGCCUGAAUUAAAAAUGUAAGUUAAUUUUUAACAUUUCAUUUAUAACCUAAUUUAAUGUUGAUAUAUUGAAUUUGGAUUACUUCUUUUAAUCUCAGAAUUUAUUAAGAUUAGAUCGGAGUUGAGUUAAUAGGCCUCGAGUUAAUUUAAAUUAUAUUCAAGGAAAGAGUUAAGUAAACUUUAAUAAGUGAAUGAUGAAAUUUUUUAUUUCUAAAUUAUAUGUAAUAUAAUCAAAUAUAUGUCUCGUUAUUACGAGUUUACAAGUAACCCAAUAGGCAUAAGAAUUAUUGAAGGUUGGCCCAACAGCCCCUUUUGACCCUUCAAAUGACUGCCCUUGUCAUUUUCAGCUUUACUCACCCUUGUCAACCAGCAAGCAACUCACUAGGAAUAGGAAUUAUCAAAUUAAGUAACUUUGCCACAAGCAGCCCCAACCCCACCCCCAAACCCCCAAACCCCCACCCCCCACCCCCCACCCACCACCCAACAUAUUUUUUUGGCAAUUUUUGUUAAAUCUAAUUUAAUAUUUUGAUAUUUGGAUUACCUAAAUUAGAAAUGUAAGUUAAUUUUUAGAAAUUUGUUUGUAGUCUAAUUUAAUGUUGAUUAAACUCGAGUAAGUUUAAAUUAGGAUUAAAUCUAUUUAAGGAUGGUGUUAAACAAAUGAGGAAACCUAAACCUUAAUUAAGUGGGUUAUUAGAAAAAAUAUUAUGGUAUUAAUUAUUUCAUGAAUUUGUAUAUCUUAAAAUUAGUUAAUAAUACCCCUCAUUAUUAUUCAAUAAAAGUGGCCAAUUCUAUGGUAAAGAAUAAAAAUAUUAAAAACAUUAGUAAAAGAUGUUUUAGACUUUACUAAAAAAAUAAGUUAAAAGACUUUUUCAAAAGAAUUUUAAAAAGUAUUUAAACUCCCCGCUAAGAUAUUUUAAUAAAUCAUUUUUUUUUUUACCAAGUCAAUGGAAAUUUGAAUUAUUAAAUGUUAUCUAACUACUAGAUAAAUUAAUAAGUUGUUUGACAAUUAUUUUUUGAGAACUAUUUUUUUAUUUUAUCUUUAAGUUGUUUUCACUUAUUUUUUAAAAUUUGUUUUAAAAAAUAACUAUACAGAAAAAUGAUUAAAAAUAAAGUACUAAAUAUAAAAAAAAUCAUUUUUAAAAAAUAUUAAAAACCAUUUAAAAUAUUUUAAAUUCUCAAAUAAACUUUUGUUUUAUAAAACAUUAAAAAAUAAUUUUUAAAAACUGUUCUUAAAAACUAUUUUUCAAAAUUAUUUUUUAAAACAAUUACAAAAUGGAUCCUAACUUUAUUUGCCUGAGUGCAAAUCUACCUAAAUUGUAAAUGUAAAAUACUUUUUUGGCAAUUUAUUUAUAAUUUAAUUUUAAGAUUCCAUACUUUGGGUUUUGAAUUACCACUUUUAAUCUCCCAACUUUUUAGAGUAGGAUUGGAUUAGCUGAAUUUGACUCUGCUUAGAGUUAGGUCCCGGGUGGUUUUCGACUGGCUCAUACUCUCCUAAAUUAUAAAUGUAAGUACAUUUUUUGGUACAUUUCCUUUUCUUUUUUUUUUUUUUAAAAACAAAAUAUCUUAUAUGAAAAAAAAAAAAAGGAAUUCUUGUAUAAAAGCUAGUUAUAUACCUUGUAUAAAAAUUUAAGUAAUUUUACUUCCACAAAUUUUCUAGGUUUUGAAAAGAAUUUUUAGAAAUACAAGGUAAAUUUUACCUUUUUAUAUAAAAGUUCUUAUAUUUUAUAUAGAAAUUCUUAUUUUUAAAAAUAAAAAAUGUACCUAAUCACCACCUAAAUUAUUUUUCACCAUUUUUUUAUACUAUAAUCUAAUGUUUAUGAUCGAAAUCUAGUGUUUGUAGUUAAGUUUGUAUUGAAGUUUAGUCAACAUAUUCAUGGAUGAAGCUAAACUAAUGACAGAAACUUUAUUUAAGUGAGCAAUUAGAACAAUUAUGAGGGUAAUAAAUAAUUGAUAAAUUUUCAAAAUUUAAAAUUUGUUAACAAUUCCCCUCAUUAUUAUAAAAAAUAUAUAUACAAUUAUAGAGGUUAAUUAUAAAAAAGAAAGAAAAUAUAUGAUAUAUCAAACUGAAUAAAAAUAAUAUCAAACAUAUUGGUAAAAAUAUUUUUGUUUUUCAAAAAAAAAACAUCCAAAAAAUUAAAAGGUUUUUUUUCAAAAGAAUUAAAAAAUAGUUAAAAUUUUCAAUAAGAAAUUUCUAAUAAUUUUGUUUUAACAAAAAUAGAAAAUCAACAAUUCCACUUAUAAAUUUCUUCUAUUUUUCAAAUAGCUAAAGAUAAAUUGAGUGAGGAAACUAUUUUUUUUAUGAAGUAUAUAUAAUAUAGUAAAAAUAUCAUAUUAAGUUAUAUAAUUUUUAUAAUUAAAGUUAAAUUCAAAUUCUCAUAAUAUAGUCAUUAUAUGAGAUUUGAUAUGAUGAUAUUUAUAAAAUCGAUGAGAUUGAUAUUCAAAUAUUUCUUUUUAAAACAUACUGAUUUAACUCUACAAGUGGUACCACCACCCAUAUAAAUUAAUAUUAAUUACAAACUUCCAUAAUACAAAUCAUUGCAUAGGAUUAGAUUUAUUAAAAAUUAAAUAACAUAUAAAUUUAUAUAGCUUUGUAGUAAAUUCUAAAUUAGUGAUUAUUUCAUUAAAUCUAAAAAAUAAAAGUAAAAUGACCAAAUCAAUCUGCAAAAAAUUCACCACUCAAAAUAAUUUAAUAAAAUGUCAAAUACUAAUAGAAUUUUUUGAGGGAUGAGGUUUAGAAAAAUCAAAUUUAGCUUUUUCUAUUUGAAAAAACCUCAUUUUCAAGGGAAGACAUUAUUAAAUCCUCCUUGAUGAUGGUAAAGUUAGGGAAAGAAAAAGAAACAACAAAUCUUAAUAUGAUGUUUCAGGGAACCCUAUCUUCAAUGAAUCAAACUAGUUUUAUGGGGCCUAAUUGACUGGAAGUUCUUAUUUUCAUUUGUCCAAAUAAAGAAAUAUUCAGAAACUGAAAAUCUUCUUUCCUAUCACAGUUCUGAACAAUCAAAGCAACUAUUAAUAAAAAAAAAACACUCAGAAUAUGACAGAUUUUGAACUAAAUAUCAUCUCGAUUCACCUACUCAAGAAAUUUGAUGAGUUUUUGAGCUUGGAAGAGUCAGGUCAAAUCCACAUGUCUGCAAAUUUGGAAGGCAGUGAUUCUACAAUUCAAAGCAUAACUGCUUCAUUUGGAUAUGAUCAUCAGGAUACCACUGUAUGAGCACCAAACUAUUUACAUUGAAUGAGUUGAAUACUAGGAAAACUGAACUACUUCUCUUCAUGGGUCAAGCAUAUCAGUAGAAAUGGGAUCUGAAAGCGCAGGCAUGGAACUACCUCUGAACUUUCUGAAGAAGGCCAAAACUUUUCUUUUUGUUAGCUCAAGUCUAAAUUUAAGAGCAUUUUAAACCCUGCCCCGUCAUACACACUUGUUGGUUUUGAAACCAUACCAUUUUCAUGCUGAUACCUGUCUUUAUGGUUUCAGCUGCUUAAAGCAGAGACUGAAAGUGGAGCACCAUACCGGUAAGUCGGUCAUCAAGAUCAAAGGAUUGCUGGUCACACUAGACAGGCGAAGCAGGUUGAGAAAUGCAUAGUUGUCGAAGGACAAAUUGCAUCCAGGUAAUUUCAGCGACAGUAAUAGGAAGACCAUGAUAUUCGGACUCAGCACUACUUCGUGAGAUAACUCUUUGUUUGGUAGACGACCAUGACACCAGAUUGGAGCCAAGGAAGAUGUAAUAGCUGCUAGCGCUUCCACGAUCGUUUGGGAAUUAUGCCCAAUCCGCAUCUGUGUGGGAUUGGAUGUCCAGAGAGGACGAGGGAUGCAGUAUCAGUCCGUGGGGGGUGGUGCCUUUAAGGUACCUGAGGAUCCUUUUUACACCAAGCCAGUGCAUGGUGGUGGGACGAGCCAUGAACUGACAUGCUUUAUUGGCUGCAAAUAAGAGAUGAGGCCUGGUGUUGGAAAUGUAUUGGAGGGCUCCCACUAUGCUGCGGUACAAUAAGACAUUCGAAAUGGUUCUCCAUCAGACUCAGAUAGGGUUGUGCCAGUGGCUCCAGGUGUGGUAGUAGGCUUGGAAUCCAACAUAGUCGUUCAAGUGAGAAGAUCACAGAUGUACUUAUGCUGAUUGAGAUGUUGUAAUGCAUUGGCAUGAGUGACCUCUACACCCAGAAAGUAGUUAAUAUGACCAAGGUCUCUAAGGGCAAAUGUUGUUUUGAGAUAUUGCAAAAAUGAGAACACCUGAGGAGGAUUGCUGCCUGUAAUUAAUAUACCGUCAACAUAGAUUAAAAGGAGUAUGGUAGCAAUUGAUGUAUGAAGGAAGAACAGAGAAUUAUCAGCCUAUGAACAAGUGAAGCCCCAGCUGAGAAGUGCUGUUCGAAGUCUGAGAAACAAGGCAUGAGGGGCCUGCUUGAGGCCAUAUAAAGCUUUGUUCAAGCGACAAACAUGAGAUGGAUAUUGCGGAUCUACAAAAUCUGGAGGCUGCUGCAUGAACACUUGCUCACGGAGGUCGCCAUUGAGGAAGGCAUUUUAAUUUGGACAUCCAGUUGUCUAAUUGGCCAACCAGAGGAGAGAGCUAUGGUGAGGACUAUGCGAAUGGUGGAUGCCUUGACUAUUGGACUGAAUGUUUCGAAGUAAUCUAGCCCAUGUGUUUUGCAACACGGCGAGCUUUGUAGCGAUCAAUGGUCCCAUCUGGUUUAUAUUUGGGUUUAUAGACCCAUUUGCAACCAAUGAUAUGUCCAUGUUGAGGAGCUGGAGCAAGAGUCCAGGUGUUGUUGCGGAUGAGGGCAUUGUAUUCAGAUGUCAUAGCUUCUUUCCGGUUGGAAUUUUUGAGUGCUUGGUGAUACGUUCGAGGUUCAAUGAUUUUCGGUGCAAAGAACAAUAUGGGUUUGAGGUUACCAAUUUUUUAUCGAGUGAGCAUGAGGUGGGUGUUAGCUGGUUUGGUGAAGAGAGUCUUGGACUGUAAUGCUAAAAGUGAAGAGUUAGUAAAUGGUGCCUGAAUAAUGGAGGGAAUAAAGUGGUUAAAGAAGGAAGGACUGGUUAUAGCUAGUUGGGGAAUGGGUCGUUCACGGGACUGGGUGGUGGUGGAUGAGAAAAGGGUUGGGAAAUGAUGAAGAGGGCUGGAAUAAGGAAUAGCUGAGUGAGGGCUUGAGGACAGGAUGGGAGAGGGCUCGAAGAGUGGUUAUAUUUGAAAUGAGAAGAUGGUUUCAUUGAAAACUACAUGACGGGUGAUGUAGAGGCGACUGGAUAAGAGGUCCAUGCAUAUGUAGCCUUUCUAAAAUGAGCUAUAACCCAGAAAUACACAUUGGACUAAUCGAUAUUGGAGCUUAUGGUUAUUGUAUGGUCGAAUGUAUAGGUAGCAAAGACACCCCAAAUACUUUAGACAUUGUAUAAUCUGGAGGAUGGCCAAAUAGAACUUGGAAAGGGGAGUUAAGAUUUAGGAUUUUGGUAGGUAGUCUGUUAAUAAUAAAUGUUGCAGUUUGGAAGGCAUACAACCAGAACUUCAAGGGUAAAGAGGCUGUGGCUAAGAGGGUUAGCCCGUUUCAACAAUGUGGUGUAUUUUACAUGCAGACCUGCCAUUUUACUCCGGAGUGUGGGGACAUAAACAUCGGUUUAUAAUUCCUUGUUGAGUAAGGAAGGGAGCGAAGGCCCUAAACUCUCCUCCAUUGUCCUAUUGGAGGCAUUUGAUUGUGGAACCAAACUGUUUCUCUACUAGAAUUUUAAACUUCAUGAAUGUAGGUAAGCUUGAUCCUUAGUGUGUAAGGGAUACGGCCUGGAAAAUCUUGAACAAUCAUCAACAAAUAACAAGAAAUAUCGAGCACCAAUAGAGGCUGGAAUGGGUGACGGUCCCCAAAGAUUAGUGUGUAUAAGAUCAAGGAUAUUAGAAGCUUUAAUUGGACUCAGAAAGUGAAAAUGGUAAUUUGUGGCUUUUUCCAUAUUGACAAGCAGUACAUAUAGUAGAAUUAUUGGUUUCAAGAGUUUGAGAAUGUUUGCAACAGGAUGUCCCAGCCUAGCAUGCCAGAGAGUAAACUGCUCAGUUCUUGUGGUAGACGCAGGAGUGUGAGACGCAGUUGUGAGGAAGGUUGAGGAUGACCUUGGUGUUAUGAAGUUCAUACGGAACUUAUAGAUACCAUUUUCAAGAUUGUCGUGGAGUAGAGUUUUCUUCAUGAGGUGGUUCUUCACAAGAAAGGGACGAGGAUAAAAGUCAAAGAAAGAAUUAUUGUCAUGGCAGAAUUUUGAGACGCUCAUAAGAUUUUGGCAAGUUUGGGAACAUGAAAUACUUUGUUUAACUGAAAAGUCUUAAAUGAAGUAGGUAGGAAUUUAGAACCAAUAAGAAGAUAGGAAGCCUCUUACCAUUGCCAAUGAUGACUAUAACUAGAAAUGGGAUCUGUAAGUGCAGGCAUAGAACCUCUGAACAUUCUGAAGAAGGCCAAAACUUUUCUUUUUGUUAGCUCAAGUCUAAAUUUAAUGACAUUUCUCUCAUACACACUUGCUGGUUUUGAAACCAUACUAUUUUCAUGCUGAUACCUGUCUUUAUGAUUUCAGCUGCUUAAAGCAGAGACUGAAAGUGGAGCACCAUACCGGUAAGUUGGUCAUCAAGAUGAAAGGAUCGCAUAAGGUUAUAUUAUUCUCUUGAAUUUAAAAUUUCAAAUCACAUACAAAUGGGAGAAAACAAAAUACAAGAAUUUGACAACAUAAAUAUUACCUCCUCAUAGCAGGGCUAUCGAUACUCUCUAACAGCCUAUACAUAGAACAAAACCAUUUUUUCAUCUUUGAAGAACUUGAGCUUUUAUCGCCUUUGGAAGUUAAAUGCCUUAAUGGAAAAGGCGAAGAUAAAUAAGAAAAGCACCGCAAACCCAACAAUCACAGCUGCAACCACUCCCAGGAAAUCAUGUUCGAACCCAAAAUAGUCAUCCAAGUAUUGUUUCACUGUUACAUUUGUGCCAAGUAGUCUGUCUUCGAUAUCUCCAAACUGUGCUGUAAUCAAUCCAUACAAAGUCCAUGCAACUGGACAUGCCCAAUAAUACCAUCUCCACCACACAGGAAUCCUCUGCAUUCAUCAUGGAAGAAAUGCAACAAAAUGAGACAGUUUCAUAUCCAUGUGCUAAACAAAGUUCCAAUUUAAAGAAUUAUGGGUUUAGAGCACUAACAGUUCCUGGGACGAUAAAACCGGAGAAGAGGUUCCAUAAUGCAUAAAAUGCUACAGCAAUGAUGGCAGCAAUAUGCUGAUUUGGUGUGGCAGCCACAGCCAUCAUGCCAAACAAGGUGAAGUAUAAUAGGCUGAAGAACGUAAAAAAAAAAUAUACCAGAAGAACUUAGCAGUUGUCCAUUCAAAUCCAAUCAUUGCAUAAACUAUAGCACCAUAAACCACAGCUUGCGAAAAGACAUAUGGUAUCUCAACUAAAGCCUGAAACAAGAGAUGAAUUUUGAUUAAUAAAACGCAUAAAGCAUUAGAUAUAUACAAAGUCUAUAGCAUAAGAAAACUUGUUACCUGCGCAAAGGCAUAUGGCAUGGCUGAAUACAUUCCUGCAGCUCUUUCUCUGUAAAAGACUGUCCGUUCAACUACCACGACUGGCUGCACCGAUUGGCCUAUCUGUAACCCAAGGAAGAUAACAGCAGCAUACAUAGAGCCCAUUGCAUUAGAUAGAUCUUGUUGCCUUGUCCUGCAUUUUCCCAUGUGAAGUAAAAAUUGAAGUUGAUAUGGAGAAGCAUACUGAGUUGUCAAAAUUCUUAACUUAAAUCAAAUUACCUUUGGGUGCCGAGAUCCCAGAACAUUGUCCCAAACAUCAAGGCUAUGAAAGUUGUGAAGAAAAAUCUCACUGCCGUGUAUGGUGGAUUGCGCCAGUAUGACCAACGUUGUUUCCAUAAGCAUGCCAUACAUUGGGUGAAGGACUGGGAGUAUUGAGUAGGGAAAUAGAGGUCCUUAGAACCAGGGGUAGGUUGGCUCAAUUCUUUAAUUAAAUCUUUGUUUCUCCUGAAACAUAUGCCACAUCUUAGAAAAAGCCUCAACAACAAAUUCAAGCUUGCAUGAUGAACAUUGAGAUGGCUGUAUAUGACAUUUCAAUAUCAUAAAGCAUUCAGAUAUCCUAUAUUUGAAUCACCUGUAUAUGUCUGAGUUUUUGUAUAUUUCAGUGAAAUCCACUCCCAAAAUUAAUUCUUGUGUAGAAGUGGUAACUUCCAACAUCCAGGUUGCAGGGUUAUAACCAUCUUUGAUUUUACUUACUCCUUCAAUUCCCUAAAUGAAACCAAAUUAAUCCUUCAUAAUGUACCAAAUUUUAUAAAGGAAGUACUAAAUUUUGUCAAGGACGUACCAAAUUUUUUAAAGGAUGUACCAAUGUUGCCAAAGUCCGUUAUGAGGUGGGGAACGACCUUCAAUAACUUCCUGAAGGUCUCCAAAUGAAGAAAUGGACUAUGGAAAUGGAGAUAAGUGUUCCAUUAGCUCAAGGAUUGGAUGUAUUAAAUUUUCUCAAUGAUGUACCUAGGGUUCCAAAGUCCAUUUCGGAGUAGGGAACGAUUUCCAAUCACUUCCCAAAGAUCCCUAAAGGAAUAAACAGACCAUGAGUAAUAAGAUAGAGAUUUCAAUAGCUCAAGUAUGUACCAAAUAUUUUUAAGAAUAUACAAAAUUUUAUAAAGGAUGUACCAAGAGUGCCAAAAUUUGUUUCGAUGUGGGGAAUGACCUUCAAUCACUACCUAAGGGUCCUCAAAGGAUAAUAUGGACCAUGGGAAGAUAGAUAAGGGCUUGAUAGCCUGAGGAUUGGAUGUACCAAAAUUUCUUAACGAUGUACCAAAUUUCCUUAAGGAUGUACCUAGGGUUCCAAAGUUCGUUUCUAAGCAGGGAACGACCUCUAAUUACUUCCUAAAGAUCCCUAAAGAAAUAAACAAACCAUGGGUAAUAAUAUAGAGGUCCUGGUAGCUCAUGGAUUGGAUGUACAAAAUUGUUUUAAGGAUGUGCCAAAUUUUAUAAAAUAUGUACCAAAUUUUAUAAAUGAUGUACCAAAUUGUCUUUAGGAUGUACCUUGGGUUCCAAUAUCAGUUUUAGAGUGGGGAAUAACCUCUAAUUCCUUCUCAAGGGUCCCCAAAUGAAUAUAUGAACCAUGAAAAUGAAAAUAGCGGUUUUAGUUCCUCUAAGAAUUGAUAUACCUAGGAUCCCAAAGUUCUUUUUGGGGUGGGCAAAAACCUCCAAUUACUUAUCAAGGGUCUUAAAAGAAUAUAUACACCUUGAUAAGUAUGAUAGUGUUUUCGGUUUUCCUAAGCAUUAAUUUACCUAUAUUUUUUAAGGAUGUACCUAUUUUUAUUAAAUUAAUAUAAAAGGCUAAAUUCAAUUUUUUAUGAAAAAUAUAUUUUCUUUUAUAUUUUAUUUUAAUUAAAAAUUAAAGAUUUUAACCAAAAAAAAAAAAUUAGAUCCAUAAUCAAUUUAAAAUCAUAAGAAAAAUGAUAUAAGCACCGUCACUUAUUGUGAUUUUGAUAUGAUAAAUUUAAAAUGAAAAUUAAAAGAAAAAUAAUGUAAAUAAUAAAAUAGUAUUACAAUGAUAUUUUUACUUUUACAUGUGAUAGAAUUUACAAAAUAAAUAAAUCUUUUGUUUAGUUUUAAUAUAAAAAAUCUUAUAUCUAAAUAAUAAAAUGGAAUUUUUAAAUUUAAACCUUAAUUUAUAAAAUGUAUUAUUAUAAUUAAUAUUUAAAAUCAUUGUUAUUUGUGGGAUAAUAUUUUCAUUUUUGUACAUUAUAUAUUUUGUUUUUAUUUAAUUUUUUAUAUUAAUUAUUUAUUAUACAUUAUCAUUUUAAGUUUAAUAUGUCAAAAAAAUAAUUAAAAUCAAUAAAUAUAGACAAAUUAGAGAGUAAAAAUAAAUUUAAAUUAAAUUAAAAAAUGCACGAGCAUAUUAAAAAGAAUAUAAAGGAAAAAAAGAAAAAUAAUAAUAAAAACUAUAAUAGGUGAUAAUGGAUUAUGGUGGCAGGAGAGGAAAAAAAAAAGUGGAAAUGUGACGAGUGGUAAGGGAGAUAUAUUGAUGUGAGAAAAAUAAUAAAAAUAAAUUACACAUGUACUUGUUAACAAGUUGUAUUAAAUUGAUGUAUACUUUGUCCUUUACUUUUAAGGGUAAUUAUGGAACAAAUUUGAAAGCACUAUUGGAGUGCAUGAAUAAACAAUAUUUUUUCUCAUUUUACACCAAAAUUAAAAAGAAAAAAAGUAAAGCUCCAAAAUCUCAUAUUUUUUGUAAUUGGUAUAUGGUUAGAUGAUUUUCCCUUUUUUUUAAGCUUGGGAUCAAAUGUGGAACCGAAGGUUGGACCCAUACACAUUAAGCAACCAUCUUUGAAAAACUUGUCCUCUGCACAUCUUAUCAUGUUUGGAAGUUAAAUGCAUUAACGGAAAAAGCAUAGUUCAAAGUCGCAAUAUCGGUUAUUGACUCGGAAAGUCAUGAGGCAUAUCAGUAUCGAUGUCUCGCUUCGAUAUCAGGUGAUACGUAAAAUAAGAUAAUUAAAAUUUUCAAAAAAUUAUAAAAUUAUUAUAUAAAUUAAAAAAUAAUAUAUAUAUCUAUAUAUAUAUAUAUAUAUAUAUAUAUAUAUAUAUAAUUAAUUAAAUAAACUAAAAAUUUUAAUAAAACAAAUUUUUUUCACAUUUAGCUCAAAGUUAUUUGUGAUAAUAUUAAAAUUUGAGGAUUUAAUUCUCACUUUGCCAUAUAAACACUUUAAUUUAUCAUUAAAUCUCAUAUAUACCUUUCAUAUCAUUUUACUUUAGCAAAUCGGGUACUCAAUUCUCUUAAUAUGUUAUUAUUAAAUCAUAUUAAAGUGUUUAUAUGAAAGGUAUUUUCCAUGUAAAUUGGGACUCAAUUCUCCAUGUAAAUCCGUAUAAAAGAUAGUUUUUUACUUUACUAAUUUGAGCUCCCAAUCUCCCACUCUCGCCACCGUUGCUGUCAAGACCCAUAACAGACCUCCCAAUCUCCCACCCUCACACGCCACCAUGCCGUCAAGACCCACAAUAAACGAUACCACCUGCAAUUGUAAAUUUGCAACCAUGUAAGACCUAACAUGGGAAGGGGAGCAAUCUGAUUGUGAGGGGGUUGUCUUGUCGACGUCGCCGAUGAAAGAUUCAGUCCACUUAACGAGUCACCACCGUCGACACCAAAGCUCCACCCUCUGGUGAUGCUCGAUUUUGAGGAAAAUCAGGUAAGUAAAUCCUAAAUCAUGUCCUCAUCCUUCGGUGGUUUCUCCACUUAUUUCCGAACAAAUCACGGUUUGGGUUUUUUUCUUCGUCUUCUUUGAUCUUCUCAUUAAUGGUUUAAAAUUUCAGAAUAGGUGUUUUCUUUUGAAAGGGCAAUGUUUGAUUAUUAUUUUUUUUAAUUUUAUGAAAAUUUUGAAAAUUCUUUGUAACCUCACCGAGUCAACCAAGUUAACUUGGAAACUCAGACAAGUCAAUCGAGUCUAACCGAUUCCCAGCCGAGUUCAUGCAUUAUACUGUAUCUGGUAUCAGUCUCGUCGCGGCAAGUAUCGAGGCAGAUACGACUUGGCUGAGUCAUACCGGACUCAGCUGAUACUUUGAACCCUGGGCAAAAGUGAAGACAACGAAGAAGAGCAAGGUAAAGCUAGUUAACAACCACAACUGCAAUCACUCCCUGGAAAUCAUGCUUAAAUCCAUAAAAAUAAUCCAAGUAUUGUACCACGGUUACAUUUCUAUCUGUUAGCAUCUCCUCUACAUCACCAAACUGUGAUGUAAUCAUUCCAUACAAGGUCCAUGCAACUGGAAAUAUCCAAUAGUACCAUCUCCACCACACAGGAAUCCUCUGGAAUCUAUCAGGGAAGAAAUGCAACACAAUGAAUCAUUUCUAUAUCCUUAUGAUAAUGUAAUUUGGAUUUGAGAAACAAUUAUAUAUGGGUUGAGAGUGCUUACGGUUCGUGGGACUGUAAAGCCUGAAAAGAGUUUCCACAAUCCAUAAAAUGCAGCACCAGUGACGGUAGCAACGUGUUGAUUCGGUGUAGCAUCCACAGCCAUCAUGCCAUAGAAGGUGAAGUACAACAAGGUGAAGAACAUGAAGAAGAGAUGUCAGAGGAACUUAGUGGCCAUCCAUUCAUAUCCGAUCAUUAAAUAAACUAUAAGACCAUAUACAACAGUUGUACAAAGAUAUAUGGGAUCUCAACAUAAGUCUGCAACAAGAGAUGAAAUUUUAGUAGGAAAUGACAUAAAAGUAAUACAGAUCUGCAAUGUCUAUAGCAUAAGAAGACUAGUUACCUGUGCGAAGGCAUAUGCCAUGGCUGAAUACAUUCCUGCAUCUCUUUCUCUAUAAAAGACUGUUCUUUCAACUACGACUGGCUUCACGGAAUGCGGAAUUUUGAAUCCCAAGGAAGAUAACAGCAGAAAACAUAGCACCUAUUGCAUUAUCCAAAUCUAUUGACCUUUUUCUGCAUUUUACAAUGAAGGUAUAAGUUAAAGUUGAUUUAGAGAAACGUAUGAAUUGGACUGACUUCCACUUACCUUCUAGUGCCGAGAUCCCAGAACAUUGUCCCAAGCAUCAAGGCUAUGCCAACUGUGAAAAGAAAUCUCACUGCAGUGUAUGGUGUGUUGCGCCAGUAUGACAACCGUUGUUUCCAUAAGUUUGCCAUGCGUUGGGUGAAGAAGGGUUGGCAGUAUUGAGUAGGGAAAUAGUGCUCCUUUGAACCGGGGGCAGGUUGGCUCAGUUUUUCAAUUAAAUCUUUGUUUCUCCUGAAACAUAUGCCACAUGUAAGAAAUGGCUUAAACAACAAAUUUAAGCUUUCAUGAGAAACCUAUAGUUGAAUCACCUGAAUAGGUCGGAAUUUUUGUAUAUUUCCUUGAAAUCAACCCCCAAAAAUACUUCUUGUGCUGUAGUGGUAACUUCCAACAUCCAAGUUGCAGGGUUAUAACUUUCUUUGAUUUUUACUGACUCCUUCAAUUCCCUUCACAAAAGGAAGUCAUAUGCAUCAGUAAGCACUUGAUAUGAAUUAACUCAAACUAAAGCAUCACUGCCAAUUAUUUUUGCUAUAUGCCAUGGCAACUUAACUCAAAAUACUUUAUCAAUUGGGAAGAAUGUCUACCCAGUGGUCCCACUUAUAUCUCUUGUCCUCCGUGCUUCAUCAGGAGCAACUGCACACCCAUUUUAAAUAAUUCAGUACUUAUCUGCCAAGGAUUAACAAGAGAAACCAUAAAUUAUUUCUGUCCACGAAAAAUUCCUACCUCAUCGAAGGCUUCAAAUAUGUCAAUACUUAGUUGAUGGAUGGUGCACACAACUGUUUUUCCUGUGUCCACUGUGUUCCUAACUGUUCUCAUAAUAAUUGCAGCAGCUCUUGCGUCUAGCCCUGAAGUUGCCUCAUCCAUGAAUAUUAUUGAAGGAUUUGCCACAACUCAACAGCAAUAGUUAGCCUCUUAUGCUGCUCAGUUGAGAGACCAUUCACACCUGGCAACCCAACCAGUGCUCCCUUCAAUGGGGUCAGUUCCAUGAGCUCCAUGACUUCGUCAAUGAACAUCUGUGACCACUAGCAAGGAUUAGAAAUUGUUUAAAAAACAAUGCAAAAUAAAAAAAAUAAAAAAGAAAAAAGAAAAAAUUCACACUGCUUGUGAUUCUUUUCUAAUAGCAGGUUGUGAACUUUGUCUUGUCUUGUUAAACCAAUCAGUUAAUUGAUGGAAAUGGCUCUUUUAUGCUUAAUAACACUUGCUUGCAUGAACUUCACCCAAUUGGAUUCUAGGACAAUGAAAUUUCGACCAACAUUUUUCCUUAGGUGAAGGUCAAGCCAAACUUGAACCUGAUCUUAGCCCAACCAAGUCAAGUUUGAAAAAUCAAUUCUAAAUAGGCUUAGCUUGUUGAGAGCGAUAAAUUGAAUAAGAAAAAUGUGGAAACAAGGAAACUCACCUUUCUGGCAGCAGAAUCCACAUCAGAAGGUAACCGCAGCCAAGCUGAGUAGACCAAGGACUCAUAGACAGUAACAUGAGGAGAGUGGAUAUCAUUCUGCGCACAGUAUCUAGAAAUUCGAGCAAAAGUUUCUUUCUUCUUUAGGUAGCCAGAAAUGGUGAUGUUACCCUCAAUAUAUCCACCAGUUUUCCGACCAGCCAGUACAUCCAUGAGAGUGAUUUUACCAGCACCGCUAACACCCAUCAGAGCUGUAAGAACACCAGGCCUGAAAGCACCACUCACCCCCUUCAAAAGCUCCAAUCUGUCUUCAAGGACACCCUAAUUCUUCAUUUCCUGCAAGUUCAAUUCAAACCACUUAGUACUCAUCUGCAGUUAAAACGUGUAUAUUGUUUGCAUAAAUUUGACAUUACCUGUGGCAUGUCAACUGAGUAUCUAAUAUUAUCAAAGGUGAUUGAAUGUGGUUGGAAUGGAAGAAGCGUUCCUUUUUUCUUGUUCUGGUUAGCCUCAACAACAGCUCUAGACCUCACAGCUGCAGAUGAGAUAACUUGCCCUCUUUCCUCUAGUCUCUCUGCAUGUUGAGCUCAAAUCUAAUUAGCCAUACAAGUUAAAAUGACAACAUAGGCACACAAAGGCAUGCAUACACCAUGUAUGAGUUUCCACCUAUGGAUGCAGUUUGGUCAAUAGAGUCAGUCUUGUCAUUAAUUCUCUUACUCUUCUAUUAUAAAAGCUUGAGGCUUAUCAUAUGUUGCAAGAUUUGUACAAAUUUUAAUAAACUAGAUCCAAUUCUUAUGAGUUCAAAGCAGAGAAGAUAAAGAUGCUCACGAUCUAGGUAAGUGAGAGCCAUAGUAUAACAGAUGUUGAAGUCAAUCAGGAAUCCAAUCUGUGCCCCAACUCCUAGCUAGUACCAGUAUGACUCUGUGAAGAAACCGUGAGACUUUAAUAUUGCGACUCAUAGGGAUACUUUUGAAUUUGUAGAUACAUUCUGAAAAAAAAAAAAAUUGUUCAAUCAUCAGCCAACUUUUGCAGACUGACAUAAGUAAACACAAAUAUUCACAUGGAAAAUUCAAGAACUUACAUGUCUCCAACUCUUCGCGAGGAAUUCAUUUACCAUUAUUGAGGUCUGUGCAUACAUCAGAGGGGAAGACCAGACACCCCAUUUCCACCAUUUCUUGAUAUUUUCUGCAGUACUCACCAAACACAAAAAGGAAACAAAAAAAUCAUUGUUAGGGUUUAUGCAGAAGAAGGUUCGACUUUUCCCAAAAAAAAAAAAAAAAAACUUGCCUCAUUAUACCUCGAGAUAGGACAAAACCACCCAAUGCGAAAAGUAGAAGUGUUGCAAAUGACCCGAAUGUGUUUGCAACAAUCAUGUUUCGACCGGUUGAUGCUAUAAGUCGGAAUAAUGCAGAUGCCAUCUGAUUAACAAUCAAAAGAAGAAGAAGAUACUGUCUAAACAACCUGCAAUGAGAAGAUUUGUUUUAUAGAGAAAACAUGUGAAACAAAUUUCGACAAGUUUCUACAAAUUCCUAACUUGUAACUUUUACCUUUCCACACAUGGAUCCAAUCCGAAGACAUAAUAAGCAGAGAACACCCAAACACUAACUUCACAAAAUGUGAUUAGGAUCUUGAGAAUGAUUGUGGGAAGAGCAUAUGUCCAUGAAGGAAAGAAGAAUAGGUCUCUUUGCUUGUAAAAGACAGGAAGUCUAACAAUGGUCAUGGCAAUUUCUGAUAUUCCAUUAAACAAGAUCAUGAUCACAGUGAAAAACAAAUAACCAAUGUAUAUGAUUCUGUUGAAUGACAUGUCCUAGGAGUCGUUGACAUGGAGCUGAGUAGAUUGAAGUGGAAGUAGUCAAAUAAGUUAGUCAUGUGGAAGAUUUACCUAUUCCUUAGGAAGUAUUUGUUGGUUUGUUUCUAUUUUUUAGGAAGUAUCUAUAAGUAGCAAGUUUGUUGCUAUUUUUUAUGUUUUUCUUUUUUAAGCUAGCUGUAUAAAUAAGUGUUUUAAAGCUUAAUAAAAAAUUACUUCAGAUUCCUCAACGUUCUAUUGCUUCCUGAGAGUUUCUACACUUUGUUUCUAUCAAAACCCACAAAUUGUAUCAGAGCCAGGUUCUUGAGUAACCUGUGAGCCGAUGCACCACCAUCUACCCUAUUUACAGAAAGUAUCCAGAAUGACCUCAGAAGCUUCAUUGAAUGCACUAGCACCUCUAGUGUUUGAUGGAAUAAAUUAUCAAGUGUGGGUUGUUCGUAUGGAAGCCUACCUUGAUGCUAGUGAUCUGUGGGAAGCUGUUAGUGAGGAAUAUGAAGUUCCUCCCCUAUCCGACAAUCCAACUAUGGCUCAAAUAAAACUACACAAUGAGAGGAGGCAAAGGAAAUCAAAGGCAAAAGCUAGUCUAUUUACAGUUGUCUCAUCUACAAUUUUCACCAGAAUCAUGACACUGAAGACAACAAAUGAAAUAUGGAACUUCCUGAAUAAGGAAUAUGAAGGAAAUGAACGAGUCAAAGGUAUGCAAGUGCUGAACUUGAUUAGAGAAUUUGAGAUGCAAAUGAUGAAAGAAUCAGAAACAAUCAUGGAUUACUCAGACAGACUUCUUAGUAUUGUUAACAAAGUAAGACUUCUUGGUACUAACUUUUCUGAUUUUAGAAUAGUUUAGAAAAUUUUUAUAACAGUUCCUGAAAAGUUUGAGACUACAAUAUCAUCUCUAGAAAACUCAAAAAAUGUGUCAAGUAUCACCUUGGCAUAGCUGUUGAAUGCAUUACAGACUCAAGAACAAAGGAGGUUAAUUAUGAGACAAGAAGGAUCUGUGGAGGGUGCAUUUCAGGCCAUAUCUCAGUACAAGAAAGAGAUGCAAAGCAACAAUAACAGAAGCAACAACACUCAAAAGUUUCCACCAUGUCCUUACUGUAAAAAAUCCAAUCAUCCACAAAAAAGGUGUUGGUGGAGGCCGGAUGUAAAAUGUCACAAGUGUGGUCAGCUAGGGCAUGUGGAAAGGAUAUGCAAAUCUCAACAGCAGCAAGGAAAAGUUAAGGCUGUUGUGGAAGAACUUCAAGAUGAGCAACUGUUUGUGGUAUCAUGCUUUGCCACUAGCAGCUCCCUAGAAACUUGGCUUAUAGACAGUGGUUGUACAAACCAUAUGACUUGUGAUCAAGGGCUCUUUAAGGAACUUGACAAGACUGUUACUUCCAAAGUUAGAAUUGGAAAUGGAGUAUAUUUUGCAGUAAAAGGAAAAGGAACAGUGGCAAUUGAAGGCCACACAAGUUUGAAAUUAAUCUCUAAUGUCUUAUAUGUUCCUGAGAUUAAUCAAAAUCUGUUGAGUGUUGGUCAACUACUGGAAAAAAACUAUAAGGUAUUUUUUGAGGACGGUCAUUGCAUGAUUGCUGAUGCACAAGGCAAAGAGGUAUUUAUAGUCCAAAUGAAAGACAAAAACUUUUUCUUGGAUUUGAUGCAAGAAGAACAGGUUGCAAUUCACAAAGAAGAAAACAAUACAAUGCUUUAGUAUAGGCUUUUGGGGCACUUUCAUCAUACCGCCCUUCUCUUUAUGAAGAAGAACGAUCUUGGAGAAGGCUUGCCUGAAUUAGAGGUGAAGCCUCCUACUUGUGUGGCCUGUUGGUAUGGGAAACAAACAAGACUUCCUUUCCCACAAAACAAGGCCUGGAGUGCUACUCAGAAGUUGUAAUUAGUACACACUGAUGUGGGAGGACCUCAGAGAACACCAUCACUGAAUGGUAGUAAGUUCUAUAUUGCUUUCAUUGAUGAUCACACAAGAAUGUGCUAGAUUUAUUUCAUGAAAUUUAAAUCUGAAGUUGCUAACAUCUUUUGGAAGUUUAAAGCUUAGGCUGAAAAUCAAAGUAAAUGUAAAAUGCAAGUGAUCAGGUCUGAUAAUGGAACUGAAUACACCUCGGAGAAAUUUAACAAAUUUUGUGAGGAUGCAGGCAUUGAGCACCAGCUUACAACACCUUAUACCCCUCAACAAAAUGGAGUUGUUGAGAGGAAAAAUAUAACACUUAUGGAAAUGACAAGGCGUUUGCUACAUGACAAAGGGCUACCAAAAAAAUUCUAGGCUGAGGUUACACAUACAUUAGUCUUUCUGCUGAAUAGACUGCCAACAAAAGACUCCAUUUGAAGCAUGGUAUGGCUAUAAACCAAGGCUGCAAAAUUUAAAACAUUUGGUUGUCUUUGUUUCUCUUUUAUUCCACAUGUUAAGAGAGACAAAUUGGAUAAGAAAGCAAAAGCUGGGAUCUUUAUAGGCUAUAGCUCAAUAUCAAAGUCCUAUAGAAUCUACCUUCCAGAAAACAACAAAGUAAUAGUUAGCAGAGAUGUCAAAUUCUUCAAAUCAGAAAGUUGGAGUUGGGAGAAUGAUAAGAAGCUUGUGUUUAAAGAGAAUCUUGAGUUCUAAAAUGACCUUAAGUUUCAAGAGAAGAAUGAAAAUAUUGAUGAUGAACCUAUCAAGGGAACCAGAUCACUCUCUAACAUCUAUCAUGGGUGCAAUGUUGCUAUAAUGGAGCCUACAAGGUAUGAAGAAGCUGCAGUUGAUAAAAAAUGGAUGGAUGCAAUGAAGGAUGAGCUUAUAAUGAUUGAAAAAAACCAAACUUGGGAGCUAGUGGACAAACCAACACACAAAAUGGCAAUUGGAGUCAAGUGAGUUUAUAGAACCAAACUCAAUUCUGAUGGUUCUAUAAACAAACACAAGGCAAGACUAGUUGUCAAAGGAUAUGCUCAGAUGUUUGGGGUGGAUUUCUCUAAGACUUUUACCCCAGUUGCUAGAUUGGACACUAUAAGAAUGUUGUUGGCUCUUGCUGCUCAAAAGGGUUGGAAUAUACAUCAGAUGGAUGUCAAAUUAGCCUUCUUGAAUGGAUACUUGGAGGAAGAAAUUUUUGUGGAGCAGCCUGAAGGUUUUAUUGUUCAAAGAAUGGAGGAGAAAGUAUAUUUGUUGAAAAAGGCCUUGUAUGGUUUAAAACAGGCACCAAGGGCCUGGUACAGCAGGAUUGAUUCACCUUUGUUAGGCUUAGGCUUUACAAAAAGCCUAAGUGAAUUUACUCUAUACUUCAGGAAGGUUUGUGAUGAAACACUUGUGGUAUCUUUAUACGUUGAUGAUCUACUUAUGACAGGAAGCAGUAUGGAGCAAACUGACAAUUUCAAAAAGAAAAUGAAGGAUGUUUUUGAGAUGACUGAUCUUGGGAGGAUGACAUUCUUUCUUGGCAUGGAGAUACAACAAAAGCAGAAUGAGAUGUUCAUAUGUCAACAGAAAUAUGCCAAAGAAAUCCUGAAAAAGUUCAAGAUGGAAUAGUGCAAUCCAAGUGCAACUCCAAUGAAUCAAAAUGAGAAGUUUUGCAAAGAAGAUGGAGCUGCAAAAGUUGAUGAAAGGCUUUACAGGACCAUUAUCGGGUACUUGAUGUACCUAAAGACAACUAGACCAGAUAUUAUGAAUGCUGUAAGUUUACGCUCAAGGUACAUGCAUUGUGAUAGUGAAAUUCACUUCCAAACAGCAAAAAUAAUUGUUAGAUAUGUCAAGGGUACAAUUGACUAUGGUCUGAGGUUUUGUCAAGUUAAAAACUUUACUCUCCAUGGUUAUUCAGAUAGUGAUUAGGCAGGUUGUGUUGAUGACAUGAGAAGUACUUUAGGUUAUUGUUUCAGCAUUGGUUCUACUAUUUUUUUCAUGGUGUUCCAAAAAGCAAGAAGUCAUAGCUCAAUCCACAGUAGAAGCAAAAUAUGUAGUUGUUGCUAUUGUUGUGAAUCAAGCUCUCUAGAUCAGGAAAUUGAUGGCUGACUUGUUUAUGGAGCAAAAGAAAAACACACAAAUACUCGUAGACAACCAAGCUGCAAUUUCAAUUGCAAAUAAUCCGGUGUUCCAUGGCAAAACAAAACAUUUCAAGCUGAAACUUUAUUUCCUAAGAGAGGUACAGAAGGAGGGAGAAAUACAGUUGGUCUACUGCAAAACAGAGAGUCAAAAUGCUGAUAUCUUAACCAAGCCACUUCCCAAAGCUAGAUAUGAGUUCUUGAGGCAAAGGCUUGGAGUCUACAGUUCCAGAGACAAGGAGGAGUGUUGAAUGACAUGUCCUAGGAGCUACUGACAUGGAGCUGAGUACAUGGAAGUGGAAGUAGUCAAAUAAGUUAGUCAUGUGGAAUAUUUACCUAUUCCUUAGGAAGUAUUUGUUGGUUUGUUUCUAUUCUUUAGGAAGUAUCUAUAGGUAGCAGGUUUGUUGCUAUUUUUUUUAUGUUUUUUUGUUUUAAGCUAGCUGUAUAAAUAAGUGUUUUGAAGCUUAAUAAAAAAUUACUUCAGAUUCCUCAAUGUUUUGUUGCUUCCUGAGAGUUUCUACACUUUGUUUCUAUCAAAACCCAUAGAUUCCAUCUUCCAUUGAACAUUUGUGCAUAUGAGUUCUUAGGAAAAGUGUCAUUGCAAUGAGUGCCAUUAUUAUGAGCUAAAAACAUAAAAGAAUAAAUAAAUUAGGAUCGCAUAUUCAAAAUUAUAAGCCAUCAUCGUAAGUAACAAUAAUAAUAACACUCACUUGGAUGAGCUUUAAAAUAUAGACAAAUGAGUUCCUCUUCAUCAGCAAGUGCUCUCUUGAGAGGUAAGCAACCAACAAUUCUUUCUUGCUAAUUCCAUACUUUUUGGUUGUCAAAGCAGUUGGAUGGCUUUUGGCCUUGUUAAUUGGAGUUGCAAGCUCUUUUGCUAGUUGCUCUCCAACAUGAAAUGACUGGAAUGCCUCAACAAAUUCCUUCGCUAUGGCAAACCUGUAAGGCUCAUUUUUUAGUGUCCAAUACUGCUCAUGAUCUUUCCUAGAUGUUACCUGCAAUGAAUUCAGUUUUCAAAAAGACUAAUUGUGCAUCUUAAUAUGUAAAUCUUAUCUUCUAGCUUGAUUUUAUCUAAAAGAAGAAAAUACCAAAAACUACAAAGCUAGAUUUGCACUCACUUCUUGGAGGAAGUCUGUCACGCCCUUUCUUUGAGGACAUUUGAAGCCCAUUGACUAAAAAAAUUCAAGCACAUUUUCACGAGGUCCUUGAUAAACAAUAUGACUAUCAAAGAGGAGAAUGAUGUCAUAAAAAAAAUCACAAGUCUCAAGUGGUGGUUGGAAGAGAGAAAUGACAGCAAUCCCAUUAAGAAUGUGGAUGGUUUGCCUGAGAGAAUUCACAAUUUGACAAGUUGUUGAGUUGUCCAAGCCAGUAGAGAUCUCGUCCAUGAAUAGCGCCUUUGAUGGACCGACCAGCAUCUCACCUAUCAUUCAAACAUUUCUCAUAAUUAAAUUAAAUUAAAUCAAUGAACCAUACAUAUAAAUACAUAUGUAGUUUUUUUCUUAUUCUUUCGGUUAAAAACCAAAUUAUUCAACCUGUUGUCACACGCUUCCUUUGUCCUCCAAAGAUACCUCUUAUCAUUUCAUCUCCUACCAUGAUAUCAGCACAGAUAUCUAAUCCCAGAAUCUGUGGAUAGAAGCAGGCAUAAAGACAAAUAAACAAAGUAUGAGCUAGUAUUGGCUUUUCUCAUAAAUCCGUAUGUCAUCAUUGAAAGUCAUAUGGUUAUAGUACCUUCAUUAUAUGAUCAGUGACCACACUUUUCUUUUGGCCUUCAGUUGCUACUGCCUGAAAUAUUAGAAACUAGUAAUGACAAUAUUAGAAACCAAUUCUGUUCAGUACAUUAAGAAAUUCCGUGGAUAAAAGAUUUUGCAAUAGAGCAAAAUUCAGGAAUAAGAUCGACUCAAGCCAUUCAAAAGAGUACAAAAAGAAGGGAACAAACUCCAGAAUAGACACAACAUCAAGAAUACAAAGCUAAUUUGCCUAUUUAUGUCAAGAGAUCAAAAUUUUCAUUCUAGGGAAUACAAACAUCCAUGUUCUCCACUAAAAGCAAAUAGAUCAAAUUUAGAAGAACUGGUACAAAUUUUAUUGAAAGUAGCUUCUGUCUCACCUUCAUGAAGACAUUGAUAUCAGGAUCAAGCUUAAUGUUUGAUGUUUUCUCUCUUCUUGCGAGCUCUGCUAACAUUUUUGCAGAUAGCCAAAAUAAGAGUCAAUCUCCUAGCCUAUACAAAUGAGAUAUAACUGCAUUGGCAAUCUUCAAAAAUAGAGAAAAUAAAAGGCAAAGGCAAUGGCUUCGACUAACUAAAUCGAUCUCUAACACCCUGGCAUCUUGUAGAGAAGGCCAAGGUUUCUUGUACAGUCAUUUCUCCAAGAUGGGUAUCAUGUUGACUGAUAUACGCAGCAGUUCUCUAUUGUACAAACUCAUUCAUGCCAUGACCAUUGUAUGUCACUCUUCUAGUAACCUAAAGAAGAAAUUCCAGUUUUCAAAUUAGACAUAAGAUAAAACAGCUAAAAUUUGAAUAGUCAUGAUUAUUUUUUUCAUUCAACCUUCAGAUUGGGAUCAACAGUUUGGCGACCCGACCCAAAUAAUAUUGCAUGAUUUUUUAAUGGAAGAUUUACUGAGGCUUGUUGGGCCCGUUUAGCCCAUUGUGGAACCACAUUUUGUAAUUAGAGUUUUUUAGUGUGGUGUGGUUGUCGUGUUAUAUAUAGAGAGAAAAUAUUGUAGCUGCAGUAGUUGUACUCUGUAUUUUUCCCUGAUAAUAGUGAUAUCCCUGCAACUCCGUGGACGUAAGCAAAUUGUCGAACCACGUAAAUACUGUCCUAUGCAUGUGAUUGUUUUUUUUUCUUUGGCGUGUGUUUUUUCUAUUUUUUGUUUCUCACGGGUUAGGAAUUCGCCUUAAUUCCCUACAACUGGUAUCAGAGCCUAGGGUUAGGUUUGAGUGGGAGCAAUGACAGAGGAAGCAGGAAAGGCAUUUGGAAUAGAAAAGUUUGAUGGCAUAGACUUUGCGUAUUGGAGGAUGCAGAUUGAAGAUUAACUCUAUGGGAAGAAAUUGCAUUUGCCUAUUUUGGGGACAAAACCUGAGAGUAUGAAGGUUAGGGAAUGGGUGCUUCUUAACAGAUAGAUUCUAGGAGUUAUUAGGUUAACUCUGUCUAGGUCUAUUGCACACAAUGUUGUAAAGGAAAAUACCACAGCAGAUCUGAUGAAGACUUUGUCUGGUAUGUAUGAAAAGUCAUCCGCAAACAAUAAGGUGUAUCUGAUGAAGAAAUUGUUCAAUUUGAAGAUGGCAGAGAAUGCAUCAGUAGCAUAACAUCUGAAUGAAUUUAAUACAGUCACAAAUCAAUUGUUGUCUGUAGAAAUUGAUUUUGAUGAUGAGAUUCGUGCUCUGAUCGUCUUGACUUUUUUUCCAAACAGUUGGGAAGCAAUGAGGAUGGCAGUAAGCAAUUCUACAGGAAAGGAAAAGCUCAAGUACAAUGAUAUACAAGAUUUAAUUCUGGCUAAGGAGAUUCGCCGAAGAGAUGCAGGCGAAACCUCAGGAUCUAGUUCUGCCCUAAACCUUGAGACAAGAGGCAAAGGUAAUGACAGAAAUUCAAAUCGGGGUAGAUCAAAAUCCAUAAUUCUAAUCGGAACAGAAGCAAAUCUAGAUCAAGCGAACAAGUAUAAUGCUGGAACUGUGGGAAAAUAGGUCACUUUAGAAGGCAAUGCAAAAGUCCUAAGAAGAAGAAUGAAGAUGAUUCUGCUAAUGCUAUAACAGAAGAGGUACAGGAUGCAUUACUUCUUGCAGUAGACAGUCCACUUGAUGAUUGCGUUUUGGAUUCAGGAAUUUCGUUUCAUACCACUCCACACCGAGAAAUCAUACAGAAUUAUGUUGCAGGUGAUUUUAGUAAGGUGUAUUUGGCUAAUGGUUCAGCCUUGGAUGUUGUGGGUCUGGGAGACAUCCAAAUAUCAUUGCCCAAUGGGUCUGUUUGGUUAUUGGAGAAGGUUCGACAUAUUCCUGACCUGGGGAAGAAUCUGAUUUCUGUUGGACAACUUGAUGAUGAAGGACAUGCAAUACUAUUUGUUGGUGGUACUUGGAAGAUUACAAAGGAAGCUAGGGUAUUAGCUCGUGGAAAGAAGACUGGUACUCUAUAUAUGACCUCAUGUCCAAGAGACACAAUUGCAGUUGCUAAUGCAAGUAUUGAUACAAGUCUAUAGCACCGUAGACUUGGUCACAUAAGUGAGAAAGGGAUGAAGAUGCUAUUGUCAAAAGGAAAACUACCAGAAUUGAAGUCCAUCGAUUUUGACAUGUGUGGAAGUUGCAUCUUAGGAAAGCAAAAAAAUGUGAGCUUCUUGAAAACUGGCAGGACAGUGAAGGCUGAAAAAUUGGAACUAGUACACACUGAUUUGUGGGGGCCUUCUCCGGUUGCAUCCCUUGGAAGUUCAUAUUUAAAAGUUUUUUGUUGUGUUUCUUAUGUUCAUAUUGAUUCUGAUGCUCGUAGUAAACUUAAUGCAAAGUCAAAAAUAUGUUUUUUCAUUAGCUAUGGUGAUGUGGUUAUAGGUUUUGGGAUGAACAAAACAGGAAAAUCAUCAGAAGUAGAAAUGUGAUAUUUAAUGAACAGGUUAUGUAUAAGGACAGGUCAACUAUAGUGUCAGAUAUUACAGAGAUAGAUCAAAAGAAAUCUGAGUUUGUCAACUUAGAUGAAUUGACUGAAAGUACUGUCCAAAAAGGGGGUGAAGAAAAUAAGGAGAAUGUAAAUUCACAGGUAGAUCUGAGUACACCGGCCUAUAACUGAAGUUCGUAGAUCUUCUAGGAACAUUAGACUUCCAGAGCGUUAUUCACAUGUUUUAAAUUAUCUCAUGUUGACUAAUGGUGGUGAGUCAAAGUGUUAUGAUGAAGCCUUGCAAGAUGAGAAUUCAAGCAAGUGGAAGUUAGCCAUGAAAGAUAAGAUGGAUUCCUUGUUGGGGAAUCAGACAUGGGAACUGAUUGAAUUGCCAGUAGGAAAUAAGGUUUUGCACAACAAGUGGGUAUAUAGAAUAAAGAAUGAGCAUGAUGGUAGCAAACGUUAUAAGGCUAGAUUAGUUGUUAAAGGGUUCUAACAGAAGGAAGACAUUGACUACACAGAGAUAUUUUCUCUAGUUGUGAAGAUGUCAACAAUCAGACUUGUACUGGGAAUGGUGGCUGAAGAAAACUUGAGCAAUUAGAUGUGAGGACAACAUUCCUUCAUGGUGACUUGGAGGAAGACCUUUACAUGAUUCAGUCAGAAAGAUUCAUUGUUCAGGGACAAGAGAAUCUAGUCUACAAACUAAGAAAGAGCUUGUAUGGCCUUAAACAAGCUCUUAGACAAUGGUAUAAGAAGUUUGACAGUUUUAUGCAUAGAAUUGGGUUCAAGAGAUGUGAAGCUAAUCACUGUUGCUAUGUUAAGUUUUUUGACAAUUCUUACCUCAUAUUACUGUUGUAUGUGGAUGAUAUGCUUAUUGUAGGGUCUAGCAUUGAGGAUAUUAAUAAUCUGAAGAAGCAAUUGUCCAAACAGUUUGCAAUGAAGGAUUUGGGAGCUGCAAAGCAAAUCCUUGGUAUGAGAAUCAUUAGAGACAAGACUAAUGGUAUAUUGAAGCUUUCACAGUCAGAGUAUGUGAAGAAAGUUCUCAGCAGGUUCAACAUGAAUGAAGCUAAACCAGUGAGCACACCCUUGGGAAGUCAUUUCAAACUAAGCAAAGAACAAUCACCGAAGACAGAAAAAUAAAUGGACCAUAUGAGCAAGGUGCCCUAUGCCUCAGCUAUUGGCAACUGAUGUAUGCUAUGGUGUGUACAAGGUCAGACAUUGCACAUGCAAUGGGAGUUGUGAGCAGAUUCAUGAGUAGGCCUGAAAAGUAGCAUUGGGAGGCAGUCAAGUGGAUUCUAAGAUAUUUGAAGGGUUCAUUAGAUACAUGUCUUUGCUUCACAGGUGCAAGUUUGAAACUAUAGGGUUAUGUAGAUGCUGAUUUUGCUGGUGAUAUUGAUAGUAGAAAGAGUACUACUGGGUUUGUUUUUACUCUAGGUGGUAUAGUUAUAUCAUGGGUUUCAAAUCUACAGAAGAUUGUUACUUUGUCUACUACAGAAGUUGAGUAUGUUGCAACAACUAAAGCUGGAAAUGAGAUGAUUUGGCUACAUGGUUUCUUAAAUGAAUUGGGUAAGAAGCAGAAAAUGGGCAUUCUACACAGUGACAGUCAGAGUGCAAUUUUUCUUGCCAAAAAUUUGGCUUUUCAUUUAAAGUCGAAGCAUAUACAAACAAAAUAUCACUUUAUCCGUUACCUUGUUGAAGAUAAUCUGGUAACUCUUGAGAAGAUUUGUAGAUCUAAGAACCCGACAGACAUGUUGACUAAGGGUAUCACUAUUGAGAAGUUGAAGCUGUGCGCAGCUUCAAUUGGUCUUCUAGCUUGAGGACAUGAGGAUGAGUUGUAGGGAUGAAGGAUUAUUUCUUGGAGGAUAGCGGUUUGAUGUUGGUGAUUGAACUAGUCUCCAAGUGGGAGAUUUGUCGGGUUUUGUGGAGUCUAGUUUUGUUUGAUCCGGUUUGGUGACCCGACCUAAAUAAUAUUGUAUGGCUUUUUAAUGGGAGAUUUACUGAGGCUUGUUGGGCCCGUUUAGCCUAUUAUGGAACCACCUUUUGUAAUUAUGGUUUUUUAGUGUGGUGUGGUUGCCGUGUUAUUGAUUACUACCAAAAAGUGCUAUUUUGUAGACCUAAUUAUAAUGGUUUUAAGCACCUUUGAGUAGUAAUCAUAUUCAUUUAACCCAAUUAAUUCAUUAAGGUCCUUAGUAAUUGGUUUUAACCAUUUUGUGGGCAAGUUUACAUAUUUUUAUCAGCUUAUGAAUCAAUUCAAGCAUGCCAAAUGAUGGAGGAGCUACUUGGACAAGUUAUGGCAGUUAUAUAUAGAGAGAAAAUAUUGUAGCUGUCGUGGUUGUAUACUAUAUUCUUCCCUGAUAAUAAUGAUAUCCCUGCAACUCUAUGGACGUAGGCAAAUUGUCGAACCACGUAAAUACUGUCUUGUGCGUGUGAUUUUUUUUUUCUUUGGCAUGUGUUUUCUCUAUUUUUUGUUUCUCACAAGUUGGGAAUUCGGCUUAAUUCCCUACAAAGCUUUCCGGACAACGCCAAUUCAGAACUUGGAGGACCCAAAAGUAACGUCAAUCUGUAGAAAAAAAAAAUGCACAACAAUUGAAUAUAGAUCUUUGAGUAUAUUCUAAAUUCAAAGGAACUAUUCGUUUGUUUUAUUAAGUAAUCCAUUUUUACACUCGAAACGAAUUCAUACUCUCACCUACUAGGUUUGAUGAUUCCGCUAACAUCUCAAAGAAUAGUGAAUUUUCUCUUUCUAGUUCAAAGAAUCUGAAGACUAUGCAAGAUAUUCUUUAAAACAGAAGGAAAAUUAUAAUCUAUAAGUAUACAUAUCGAAAAGAGUAUUUAUUGCAUAGAUAAUGAUCUACAUUUGCAUUGUAGUUACCUCAACUUGAUUAAAAAUGAAAUUAAAGAAUGAAGGCAAAGCUCUGCUUCCUACAUAAGCUUCUCCAUCAAUAGUAAGAUGCUCAUAUCUAACUUCAUUUUGGGAAGUUCAAUCCCAACUCUGAAAAAAUGGAAGAGACAUGAAAACUCAUCAUUAAAAAGUUAAAGAAAGUUGUUUGGUUGGGGAGAAAAUGUAGGAAACAACUAUCAGGCAAACUCACCUAUCCAUACGAUUCUUGAGCUUCAACAAGAACUUCUCAUUGUACUCUUCAGCAAUUUUUAUCAACUGUUCCACUAAAUUCUUCUUGUCCUGAAGCCCAAGGUUGUGUAUAUCAACUUCAAUGGCCUCACCCUCUGAUCCCAGCAACAAACCUUUCCUCAACCGAUUGUAGGUGGGGGGUUUCUCAAGUGCGGCCCAUUUCAAAGCUUCCUCGUCAUCCUCACCCCUCGUAGAUUGGGAGAAAAUCUCGACGUCAGGGGUCCUCCAUCUCAUAGAACCAGCUCUACGAGUUUCAGGAGUCGACAUUGCAAACAAAAAGGAAGAACUCUCCUGCAAAACCAACAAGAACCCGCCAAAACCCGAACUGUUGAAAUUAUAAUCCAAGCUAAAGUCAAACUAAAAGAAUUUUAGGAAUUUGAUCAAUAUUAAAAAUUAUUAUUUAUUUAGAUUUAUAUGUUAAUUAAGACUUUUGGUAUAAUAGCAAUUGGAGUCUAGAAUAUAAACUCAUUUUUCUCUCUCUUAGUACAAUGUUAUGUCUUGUUGUAUUGCUGCUACUGCAUUGUAAAAAUCAUAUAGAAUGGAAGGUUUAUAUAGUGAUUGGUAGGACAGAAAAUGAAGCGUCAAAAGAUUUGAAACUGGUUUAUUUUCUUGUGAUUCUUUAAGUUAUGUUUGGUUUCUAAAAAAGUACUAAGAAAAGAAAAAAAAAUGAUUUUCUCAUGUUUAGUUUCAUAAUGAAAAAUACAAAAGAAAAUAAAAUAUAAUUAAAAUUUGUUAAAAUUUUAUAUAUUUUUAAAUUAUUUAAUCUUUAUAUAAUAGACGAAAAUAAGUAAAAUAACUUUGAAGAAAUAUAUUAAGGUUAUGUUUGGUUCCCGGAAAGUACCAAGGAAAGAAAAAAAAAUGUAAAGGAAAAUGGUUUUCUCAUGUUUGAUUUCAAUAUAAUUUUUUUUUAAAAAAAAUUAAAUAUAAUUAAAAUUAGUUAGAAAUUUAUACAUUUUAAAAUUAUUUAAUUUUUAUAUAAUGGAUGAAAUGAAGUGAAAUGAGUUUGAUGAAACAUAUAUAAAUAAUUUAUUAAUUUUAAAUUUAUUUUUUAUUUUCCUUUAUUUUUUCUUUCCUUCCACUUUUCCUUUUUAUUUUCUUUCCCUCACAUUUUCUCUUUAAUUUUCCGAGAACCAAACAUAGUCUAAAGUAAUUUAUUAAAUUUAAAUCUAUAUUAAUUUUUUUAUAUUUUUCUUUCUUUCUACUUUUCCUCUUUAUUUUCUUUCCUUCAUAUUUUUUCUCAUAUUUUUCGGGAACCAAACAUAGCCUAGAAAAUUGGUGAGGGAAAUCGACUAUAAAAGAGUCUGCACAACGACUUCAUAAUAAUGUACACAUGCCACCAUCUUUUUUUUUCCCUUCAACUUCCUAUAUUAAGACUUUCACAGUUGAUAAUUUUUGGUUUCUUACACUUUCUUUAGCAAGUAAAUAGAAAUGUGAAUUAUUGAAUGUUUUGUUAGUUUUUAAAAUAAGAAGAAAUAUAAUACUUAAUUUUAUACAUGUUUUCAAGCAUGUUUGGUAUGUGAGAUAUGAUAGGAUAGAGUAUUUAUAUUCUAUAAUAUCAAAUUCCAUUAAAUGAAAAAUGCAUAUUUUAAAAUAUAAUUUUUCAAUUAAAUAUGUUAUUUUUUUAUAUUAAAUCCAAUCGAUAUGAUAUUGUGAGAUGACAUAUCCAAUGCAUUUCCUAAAAUAAAUUAUUUCCAUAUAUUUUUAAGAUUAUCAAGUCUAAUGGAUAUAAUAUUCCAAGGUAACAUAUUUAAUGAGAUAGGUAAUGUAACGUUAUGCUUAUAUUUAAUUUGUAAAAUUAAUAAGAAAUAAAAUAGAAUAUAUAUUUUUUUAUAAUAUAUUUUGUAAAUUUUUUUUGGUUCUUCUAUUUUAACCAUAAAUUUAACUUCACAAUAAAAAAAUUAUUUUACUAAAUAAGUGAUAAAAAAUAAAAAAUAAUAAAAGAAAAAUAAAUUUAUAAUACAUAGGAUAAUAUAUCUCACUACUUAUCCUAUAAGGAAUAUAAAAAAGAUAUAGAUAAUAUAUCUCACUACUUAUUCUACCAUGUAUUACAUCCACCCAACCAAACCAUGACCUUACGGAUAUAAAAAAAAUUAAUGUUUAAUAACAUCCACAUUAAUGAAAACAAACAAUUUACUUAUAUAAACUAAACAAUCAAACACUCAAAUGAUAUUUCGCUCUAUUUAGACUAAUGAAAAAUAAACAAUUUAAAUAUUUAAUAACAUUCCACUUUAUUAAGCUUUAAGCUUAGAAUCUUAAAAAAUAAAAAUAAAAAUAAAAAAAAAAUAAAAAUUUACUUUAAGAAUUUUUUUUAGAGUUGUUUCAAAGUAAUGGGAUUAUUUGUUUUUUCUUUUUCAUUUAUGUCAUAAAGCAAAUUAUUUUAAAAUUUAAAAUCAAAAUAUAAAAAUUUAUUUUUUAUAUUAAGAUAAAAUUGUCUUAUAAAAAGUAACAAGUUAAAAAACAAAUAAUUUUAAAAAUGACUUAAGUCUUAACACUAUUAAGUAUUAUUUAGAUGCAAGGUUUAUUUAAUUUUAUUUUUUUUCAAAAAAAGCACCACCUUUCAAAUAAGAUUUAAGCAGGUUUAACCUCUUUGAAAUUGCUUGAAAUCUAGGAGGUUAUUUGUUUUUUAAACUUAAAUCUUAAAGCUAGUUGCUUUAAAAUUUAAGAUAAAAGUAAAUAAAAUAAAAUGAAAACUUUUGUUAUUAAGACAAAAUUUUCUUUUAAAAAUGAUAAACUAAAAAAAUAAUUUGAAAAAUGACUUCCAUCUUAAAGCAACUCUUUUUAUUAGGAUUGCCUCUCUAUCCUAAUUAAAAUUAAUAAUCAACUUGAUUUUGAGUAAGAGAAUAUCAAUGUUAACCAACAUUAUUUUCUAAUAAAAGUAUUUGUGAAAACGUAAACAUAUUUAUGCUUCAAUAAAUGGAAUACAUUUUUUAGUAAUAUAACCGUAUUUUAAUUUUGAAUAAAAAAAACAUAUUAGUCUAAUAAUCGAUAUUCAUAAUUGAUAAUAUCAUACAUUAAAAAUUAUUAAUGGCGAAUAACUAAUAUAUAUGGAUUAUUAAAGCAACUAUGAGCAUACAACCUAUGGAACUUGGUGUAAACUUUUUUGUGGAUCUGUUUUUUCUUUGCUAAUUAAAAAAUAAAUUAGUAAAGCAAUAACGAGCAUAGAAAUUAAUUAAAACAAUAACUAUCACUCAAAUGAAGUAUUAGGUUCUAUUGAUAAUUGUUUUUAAAAACAAUUUUUAGUCUCCAGAAUAAAAAUAAAAAAAACAAAAAAAAAACAAGAAAACAAGUUUGAUAAUAGAAAACAAAAAGCAUUUUAUUGUUUUGUUUUUUUUUUUAAGAAAAACAUUGUAUUUUCAAUCCUUUAAUUGUUUUCGCUUUUUUUUAAAGGAUUACUUUUUAAAAAUAAUCAUACAAAUAUGAAGAAUGAUUAAAAAUAAAACACUACAUAUAAAAAUUAUUUUUAAAACAUAUUUAAAAAUAUAAAAAACAUGUUAAUAAUAUUUUAGGUUUUUAAAUAGACUUUUGUUUUAUAAAAAAUCAAACAACAAUUUUCAAAAAUUAUUUUUAAAAAUUAUUUUCAAAAAAACACUUUUCAAAUACCCUAUCCUACCAACUAUAUAUAUAGACACACACAAUGCUAAUGAUUUUUAAAAGAAAAACAGUCACAUGAAAAAGGUAAUGAUAUUAGAGAGUAUAGAAGAACUUACUAAAUUGAAGAUCGAACAAGUCUUAGAAAAACAUUGUCAAUAAUACAUGGGAUGAUCAGAACGAUUUCAUAUAGCUACUGAGAUUGUCCUCAAAGUUGUUCUUAAAAAACAAAAAUACUAUAAAUGGUUGGAUCCAACCUUUCAAGGAAACCAAAGCCCUUUUCUUUUUUCUUUUUUUGAUAAAGAGAUUUUCAUUUUUUUCCUUCUAAAAGGAACAUUCUAUAUAUAGAAUCUAAAGGUAUCAAACUGUGCCUCCAAGUAGUUUGACUGUAAAGUACAAUUCAAUCCUACGUGUUGAUUGUUCUUUUGGUUUGCUAAUUGGUCAGGCAAUCGAUCUUUCCUCACGUGGUUUCCAUAUUAUCAUUUUUUCAUCUUUUUCCUCAUCAUUUUUAUCCUUUUCCAUAAAUAUAUAUAUAUAUAUAUAUAUAUAUAUAUAUAUAUAUAUAUAUAUAUAUUUAAAUUAUUUCAUUAGCAAUUUGUUGAAGACUUGAAAAUAAAUUAAAUAAGAGAAAUAUUCACAAAUUUUUUACUUAAUUAUUCAUGAUGACAUUAAUUAUGAGAGUAAGGUAUAACCAAAUAAGACUAAGAUGGUGUUUGUUUUUUUACUUAAUUCUAAAUAGAGUCUUAAUACUUAAUAGUGUUAAAUAUUAGGUUGUUUGUUUUUGUAGUAUUUUAUUUCUAUUAAGUAUUAAAAAGUAAAAAAAAUCAAUAUAUUAUUUUCUCUAUUUAGAAAAAGUUACAUAUUUUGGUUUUUUCUAUUUAGUAAAAAGUUUAUAAUAAGUCAUGAAAAAGUAGAAAAACAAACAACCUAAAUUUUAAAACUAAAUUGUUUUCAGCAAAAAGCUAAAAAAACAAACACCACCUAAGAUAGGAAAAAAUGAGACCAAAGAAUUUGUCUCUAAAAGGUAUGAAAAAAUGAGAAUCAAAUAUGAAUGAAGGAGAUAUAGGUAUAAACUUAAUAAGAAAAAUGUUAAUUAUGCUUAAAUCUAUGAAUUUAAGAAAAUCUAAAAUUUCGAUCAUAAUUAUUCAUGAUCACAUCAAAUUUAUAUAUAGGAAUGGUUGAAAAUAAUGAGAGCAAUGCAUAACCAAAUGGUACUAAGAUGGGAAAUAAUGAGACCAAAGAAUUUGUCUUUAAAAGGUAUGAAAAAAUGAGAUUCAAAUACCGAUUAACUAGAUAUAGGUAUAAAUUUAAUAGGAGAAAUAUUAAAUACGCUUAAGGUUAUGUUUGGUUCCAAGAAAAUAUUAAAAAAAUAAAAAAAAAAUAUAAAGGAAAAUGAUUUUCUCAUAUUUGAUUGUCUUAUGAAAAAUAUAAAAGAAAGUCAAGUAUAAUUAAAACUAAUUAGAAACUUACGUAUCUUUUAAUUAUUUAAUCUUUAUAUCGAUUAAUUAAAAUAAACAAAAUGAGUUUGAAGUAAUAAAUAAAAAUAAUUUAUCGAUUUUUAAUCUAUUUUUUAUUUUCCUUUCAUUUUCCCACAAAUUUUUGUGGAACCAAACAUUUGAAGUAAUAAAUGUAUGAAUUUAGGAAAAUCUAAAAUUUGGCCAUAAUUUUUCAUGAUUACAUCAAAUAUAUAUAGGAAUGGUUGAAAAUAAUGAGAGCAAUGUAUAACCAAAUGAUGUUAAGAAAAUAAUGAAAUCAAAUAAUUUGUCUCUAAAAGGUAUGGAAAAUGAGAGUCAAAUAUGAAUUAAUGAGAUACAAGUAUAAAUUUAAUAAGAGAAAUACUAAUAAUGCUUAAAUAUGUGAAUUUAAGAAAUUCUAAAAUUUUGACCAUAAUUUUUCUCAAAUCAAAUAUAUAUAUAGGAAUGUGUGGACCCCGCAUUUCGGCUCAUGCGUUUCCCACUCGAUGGCGAGCUCGAUUUUAAUUUGAAAUUUUGAUUUUAUUUAUUGUUUGAAAAUGACUUGGAGUCGCCACUUAUUUUUGUUUUAUUUUAAAGGGUAAACAAAAUAAGAAAGAAAAACCCUAAGUGUGACUCCUUGUUUUGGAAAAUGUGGUCUAUGAAAAACCGGAUCGAGUUCGGGGGUCAGGUUACUUAUCGAGAAGGUACGGUAGAGACCGUAGCACCCCUCUAAGUCCCUAAAAACAGGUCUCUACUAAUAAAAUAAAGCAAUCAUGGCAAUUGAUGAGUAAAUCAAUAAAUACCUAGGAUGGCCAUGCUCAUGUGAAAAUCAAAACACUCAAUAAGAACGAUCGAAGUGGGAGUGGAGCAUACCUUGGCACCAAACGAUCAGCGUCCAUCAAGAAAGGGGGUUAGCGCACAGUUAAGAAAUAAUAUCAUGCAUGUCAUAGAGCAGAAUAACUCAAUCAUGUACUACCAUCAAAUCAACUAAUUAAACAAUCAAUCAUAAAAACGUGUAUGUGGGGCCCCCACCAAAGCCCGAUUUAUAUUGCAUGAAUUAAUCCCAUAAAUUCCAUUAUUCGGAAUUACGGAAAAUUCAUUCUUGCUUAUUAAAGUCCAUAGGAGCAGAAGAUUGUUUGAAAGCCAUAGCGAAAUUAAAACUAUUCGGGAGAAAAUUAGAUUUUUGAAAUUUAAUUGAAAAAUUGGAAUCUCGAAGAUCACUAGAAAAUUGGAGUUUUAGAGUUUAUUUGGAGAUUAGACUUUUAGAGAUUGAAUGUGAGAAUGAGAAUUUUUAGAAACUGAAUUUGAAAGAGGUUGGAAUUUUGAAAACGAUUUGAAGGUUCGGGAUUUUAAAGAAAAAUUAAGUUGCGAAAAUUGAGACUUUGGGAGUUGAAUUUUGAAAGAUAUCAGAAUCGUAAGUUAUUUGAGAAAUAGAAAUUAUGAAAGUUGAUGAGUAAAAAUUGGAAAUCUUAGAAAUCAUUCGAAGGCGGAAUUUAUAGAAAUAAUGAAUAAGAUGAUAAUGAUAAUGAUAAUGAUAAUAAUAAGUAGUGGGAUAAAUACGGGAAUUGGAGCAUGGAAAACUGAAAAUUAAGUUCGGAGAUUGGACAAUUGGAGUUUCAAAUAGCUAAAUUUAGAAAUUGGAAUUUUGAAGAAUUGAAUUUUAAUGAUUGAGAUUUUUAAGAGAAAUAAAUAGGUAAAUAUGGAAUAAUGUUAUUAAUUAAUCAAAACGAUAUUUGGACAGAUGAAUAGUGAAUAGUGGGAUUUUUAAAUUUAAGUUUGAAAGUCGGAUCUCUGAAUAAUUGGACUCUAAUUAUUGGAAUUUUUAGAAGAAAGAAAUAAGUAAACGUGGAAUUUAUAACAAUGAUAACAAAGAUGAUAUUUGAAUGAAUAAAAGUGAAUGGUGGAAUUUUUGAGUCUCAAGGUUAAAUUUGGAAGUCCGGUUUUUGAAGAAUUGAAUUUUAAUGAUUGAAAUAAAUAAGUAAAUAAGUAUGGAGUAAUGAUACUAAUUAGCAAAAAUAAUGUUUAAACGAGUAAAAAAAUAAUAGUAGAAUUUUUCUAAUCAAGAAUUUGAAUUAGGGCGUUGGAUUUUUAAAGGAUAUGACUUUGAAUAAAUAGGUAGGAUUAUAAUACUAAUUAAUGAGAAUAAUAUUUAGGCGAAUAAAGAUGGAUAGUAGAAUUUUUUUUUUAGAUUGGAGUUUUAAUUAAGGCAUGGGGUUUUCGGAAGAUUGGACUUUAAAUAGACAUGAAAUAAAUGAUUCUAAUUGAUGAAGAUAAAAUUUAGACGAAUUGUAGAAUUUUUAGGAUUGAAAGAUUGAAUUAAGACAAGAGAUUUUUUGAAGAACUAGGUUUUAAAUAAAUAGAUGAAUAUGGGAUAAUAAUCCUGUUUGAUGAAAAUAAGAUUUAAACGAUAGGAUAAUAAUUCCAAUUGAUGAACAUGAGAGACAGAUAUUUGAAGAAUUAAAUUAAGGCAUGGGAUUUUCUUAAAAGAUUCAGAUUUUAAAUAGCUAGAUAAAUAUGAGAUAAAUAAUUCUAAUGGAUGAAAAUGAGAUUUGAACUAAUUAUUGAAUUUUUAGGAUUGAAAAAUUAAAUUUAAAUAUGGAAUGUUUGAAGGAUUAGACUUUAAGUAACUAGGUAAGUAUGGGAUUAUAAUUCCGAUUGAUGGAAACAAGGUCUAAACGAGCUUUUGAAAAAUUAAAUUGAGACAUGGGGUUUUUGAAGGAUUAGAAUUUUGACUUUAAUAAACGAGAUUUAUAAAAUAUGAUAAAUAGAUAUACACAAAAAAAUAAUAAUAAUAAUAAAUAGUUAUAAUGUUUAAGCUAGCCAAAUUGAAUAAUAUAAGCUUCAAGAUAAAACUAUAAUUAACAAUAAUAAUUUGACUUUCAAUUUUCUUUAAGAUGAGUUAACCAAAUGUAUAAAAAUAAGAUGACAAAUAAAAGGGGAUGAUUUGAUUAAUCAAUUAUGGAUAUUAGAGGUUUUGUUUUGUUUUCUUUUUAAAAUGAUUAUUUAGGAAUUGGGCAACCUGAUGGGCUAACUUGAAGUGGGCAUGGGCCACUUUAAUAAGGGGAAUUGGCAUGAGGCCUUCAUCAAUGUAAAUGGGCCUGGGCUCCAACUUAAGCCCAAGUCCAAUGCUAGCAUGGGCGGCUUCAGAGACUCAUCUCCCUCACCAACUUGUCCCGCCUGGCUGCAACCCCUUCAACAUCUCCCCGCGGCGGCGGCGGCUGACUCCAUCACGCCUGGAUGAAGCUGGCAGUCGGCGCGCGCCGCUUUCUCGGCGCGUCCACGUGCUCUACCGGCUGAGAUCGAGCUUCCUUUCUUCACGGUGGUCAUGUGCAUGUCGCCGACGCAAGCAGACGACAGCUGGUUGAGCUCUCUCUGGAUCGCUCUCCCUCCGGCAGCGACGUCGCCCGAGUCAGGUACGACGCAGGCGAGAUCGAAGGCGCGUCCUGCGCGCGCCUCGUGCCUUCUCGUGUCUACAUCGAGCAGCUCUCCAUGCUACCCCGUCGGAUUCGGGCUGCCUUGACCGCCGUGGGAGCAGUGGCUGCGGCGACGAUGCUUGGGAUUAGCACCGAUCCAGAGCUCCUCUUUAGGGGCUCAUCGGUUAUGAAAGGUGGCAGCCAUGCAUGGCUAUGCAUAGCCAUGCGAGGGGAGAGGAAUGGGUGCAGGGACGUGGAUGGGAACUAGGAUAGCUGUGGUGGGUAUUGGUAUGGGUUCAACGCAGCCAUGCAAGGGUGGAGAGAAACUGGAAGUUCUCAAUGCCAUUGAUCAAACAUCAAACCCAAGUGAGGAUCCAAUCUCUUGCAAGGGAAAAAUCAACAAAAUUGCAGGAAGCAAAAAAAAAAAAAACAGAGCAAGCAUUUUCAGGGUCUUGGAUACCCACAGCAAAUCACAAAAUAACCUUCAUAGAUUAACAGAAGACCUUACCUGAAUAUUCCACCACGUCACCUUCCUCUCUCUCGUCUGAAUCCCCCUGCGCCCCCUCUUCUUUUCUCCAAGCUUCAAAAUGUCCCCCCCCAUCACCCCCCGGAACCCCCCUUUUCUUUUUCUUCUCUUUUUCCUCUGUUUGUGUCUUCCUCAGCAAGUCAUCCUGCCUGCUGCUACCCAUCCCAUCUGGUGGCUACCCCUCAUCCCCUCUAGCUGCCCCAGAGCAGCCCGCUUGAGAGGCGGUCAGAAAAACAAUAAUAAUAAUAAUAAUAAUAAUAAGCUAAAGCUCCUGGGGGGGUGGUUUUCUACAGAAUGGUUGAAAAUAAUGAAAUCAAUGUGUAACCAAAUGGGACUAAGAAAAAUAAUGAAACCAAAAAAUUUGUCUCUAAACAGUACCAAGAAAUGAGAAUCAAAUAUGAAUUAAUCAAAUAUAGGUAAAUUUAGUUAGAGAAAUAUUAACAAUGCUUAAAGAUAUGAAUUUAAAAAAAUCUAAAAUUUUAACCAUAAUUAUCCAUGAUUACAAUAAAUAUAUAUAGGAAGGGUUGAAAAUAAUGAGAGCAAUGUAUAAGCAAACAAGACUAAGAAAAUAAUGAAACCAAAAAAUUUGUCUCUAAAAGGUAUGAAAAAAUCACAGUAAAAUAUGAAUUAAUGAGAUAUAGGGAUAAAUUUAACAACAGAAAUAUUAAUAAUGCUUAAAUAUAUGAAUUUAAGAAAAUCUAAAAUUUUGGUCAUAAUUAUUCAUAAUCACAUCAAAUAUAUAUAGUGAUGGGUGAAAAUAAUGAGAUCAAUGUAUAACUAAACUAGACUAAGAUAGAAAAUAAUAAAACUAAAAAAAUUCUCUAAAAUGUAUGAAAAAAUGAGAGUUAAAUAUGAAUUAACAUAUAUAUAUAUAUAUAUAUAUAUAUAUAUAUUUAAUUAGAAAAAUAUUGACAAUCUUAAGUAUAUGAAUUUAAGAAAAUCUAAAAUUUUGGCCAUAAUUAUUCAUGAUCACAUCAAAAAUAUAUAGGAACAAUUGAAAAUAAUGAAAGGUAUAAUCAAAUGAGACUAAAAUAGAAAAUAAUGAAACCAAAGAAUUUGUCUUUAAAAGUUACAAAAAAAUAAAAAUAAAAAAUGAGAGUAAAAUGUGAAUGAAUGAGAUGUUGGUAUAAAUUUAAUCAGAGAAAUAUUAAUAAUGCUUAAGCAUAUGAAUUUAAGAAAAUCUAAAAUUUUGGUCAUAAUUAUUCAUUAUCACAUCAAAAUAGGACGCUUGAAAAUAAUGAGAGCAAGGUAUAAUCAUACGAGACUAUGAUUAUCAAACUACUUCAAAAUCAAAAUCCUUAAUAGAAUCAAAUCAUCAAGAUGAUGUUAGUCUUUUUCAAAACAUUGAAGAAAAUCUAAGCCAAAGUUCCAAUCACCAAGAAAUAUGCAUAAAAGAUAUUUGCCGGCCAAAGACCUUAAAUGUAAUCACUAUGGAAUAAGAAUUAAUUUUAGAAUUAUUUAUUAAGGUUAAAGAUUCUUCAAUAAAAACAUAAUUAUGUGAAAUUUGUAAGAAAUCGAUUUCUAAACUAGAAAUGAAAAAAAAAAAACUAUAAAACCUUAUAACUUCUAUGAAAUCUUGACAAGAUUUAACUAUAAUUCCCUAAGAAAGUGAUUAUUAAAGAUCUUCAAUAGGAAACAAGAUGAUGUUAGAAGUUAGAGAAUUAAGACAAUACACCAACAUAUGUUUAACAAACCUUCAAGAACAAAUUAAUUAGAUAGUAAGUAAUAAGAAUCGAUCUUUAAAAAAUGCAAUGUUUCCCUAAUAAUUGUGAUUAACAAUGAGUUCAUCGCUAAGAUUAAUUGUUGUCUUAAUAGAUUCAAGAGUAGCUUCUUUAUGGCAUGCUAAUAGGUCAAACUUAAGAUUAGGUACAAUUUGUCUAAGGCUUAUAUCAAUAAUCAAGGGAUAUGCACACAACAUUUAAUUUGGUAUAAGAUUUAAGAGAAGAAAUAUUCUUGAAAUACCCUUUUUAAUUGUCUGGCCUAUCACUAGAGUAGAUGGUCAAGGUAUAAGACUAAAUUCUUAAAUCAAGAGACUCUUUUUGAAUUUGCAUAUCCUUGAAAAAGAAACCUAAAUAAAUUAAGAUCCUUGAUUAUUUCUAAAAAAAUACAGGCUAAGGAUAAUCAUAUCAAUUUUUUAGUUCAAGAAGUUAGAUCUAAGAGAAUUGAAGAACAAUUAGAAGUUAAAAAGACUCAAGAUGUUAUCCAAUAAUUCAAAGAAAAGUUGGUUAGAGAAGCCUGUCCUAAAUUCCCUAAUGUAUUUUGGCAUAGGAAUGAACAUGUUAUGGAACUACCUUACAACCUAGAAUUUAGGGAAAAUGAUAUUCCCACUAAGGCAAGACCAAUUCAAAUGAUUCAAAAACCAUUGAGAUAUUAUGAAAAGGAAAUUUAAGAACUCUUUAAAAAAUUAAUAAAAAAUCCAAAUCUCCUUUAAGUUGUGUAUGCACAAAUUUCUUGAAGUCUUGCAAAACAACCAAAAACUAUAGGAAAAAUAUAUGUGAUCAAAACUUUAUAUUAAAAUUAAUUGAUUGUGCGGUAUAGACUCAAAUAUAAUAUUCUUUACAAAAGAAAAUUUUCCCUUUAUUCAUUCACUUUGAUUACAAUCCCAAAGAUGAUGACAAGAGUCUUUUCUUGAAUUUUGAAAAUCAAUCCAAUGCCUAGAGUGAUUUUCUCAAAUGAACUUGUUAAAUGAUGAAAAACACGUAUAUACUUUUAUUGUAUAAAAGUAUAAAACACUUUCACAUUUAUUUUUAUAAUAAUUAUAUAAUGUAAUUAAAAAUAAUAAUGCAAAUUAAUUAAUAUAAUAAUUUCAAAAUAAUAAAAUACAAAAGACAUGCAAAUAAAAUUAAAUAUUAUAAUUUUUUUUUCAUUUUAUAUAUAUCCUUAUAUUUAAAUAUUAUAAAUGGUCUAUUUAAUAAAAUUUAAAAUAUUAAUAUAUUUAUAUUUCUCUUCAUCAUUUAAUUUGAUAUGUCAAAUAUAAAAAUGAAAUUAUUAAAAUUUUUAAUUAUAUAUAAUUUUAAUUUCUUAUAAUUAUUUAAAAUUUUAUAAUAUAUAAAUUAUUAUUUAUGAUGUCGAUCGAGGUCCGACCAAUGAACCAUGAACAAGUAACUUUUCUAGUUCAAUCACCAAUCCAAUUAAACAUUGAUCAUAUGACUUGUAAUACAAAAAUUCAUGGCCCCACAAUUGAUUUUUUAUUUAUUAUUUUAACCAUGAAAUGUGGGCCCCCAUGUUGUUCUUAAAUCUUAAAUAUCAAAUAAAAUGAUGAAAUAUUUUUAAAAUUUUAAUUAUUUAUAUAUAUUUUUUCACUUAUUAUAAUAAUUUUUAAUUUUCAAACCGGUUCAAUCGAGUCAACAACCAAUCCAAUUUUGAAAGCAUUGGUAAAUAUAGGCAUAAAACUAUUGGAAAUAACUCCCGCCUUUCCAAGGAAGGCCUAAACUUCCCUUCUUGCUUGCUGAAUUCUAAAUUUAAUAGCAUUGCAAACGCUGCAGAUUAAAAACACAGGUCUAGUUUUUUAUAGUUUCUAUAUUUUCAUCCUAUUAUUUAUGUCUUUGGUACUUAGAGCAGAGAUUGAAAGUGGAGGCCCAUACUGUUAAGUUGGUAACCAAGGAUGAAAGAAUAGCUCAAGGUUCUAUUACUGUCUGGAAUUUCAAAUUACAUAAAAUUGGGACGACAAAGAAAUUAAAGAAUUUAAUAUCCUAACAUCCUACGUACACAAAGAACAAAACCUUUUUUUUCAUCUUACAAUCAAAUGUUGAACUGAAAGGUUACAUACAUAAAAUAACCAACCAUCCUUGAAGAACUUGUGCUCCGAAUGACUUCUUAUCGCCUUUGGAAGUUAAAUGCCUUAAUGGCGUAGGCAAAGAUGAAUAAGAACAGCACCACAAACCCAACAACCACAGCUGCAACCACUC
rnacentral:lncRNA from 1 species